rnacentral:lncRNA from 1 species
AUUCCACCGCAGGACUCCGAAGAGGUGCGCCUAUGCUUGGCUGGGGCUGAGGUCACCAAGAGUCCUCUCGGAGGGACGUUACUACACGCGCUGGCGAGGCCCAGGAGUCGUGGUGCGAGGGGUACUAUCUGUGAAACGAGGGCUGCCUGUCCCAGCAGCCAGCUUUGUACAGAGACGUCCCGGAGCCACGAGAGAGUAACGGCUAACCCGGGGGAGGGGGUGGCGAGGGUGAUUCCAGGCACUUUGUGAAGAAACGAGCUAUGGCGAGGGAAGAAUCCACUUUGAAGAGCGGCCCCCGCCCUGCCCGAUACGUUACUUCCGGGGCGGGGCGGGCAGAGGGGCCCGGAUGUGCCGCCGCUUUUUAGUUUCUGAGGCGCCGGCGGUGUUCCUGGUAGCGUCAGCCUCCUGGCUUUUCCUUUUCCUGGACGCUUCAGGGCUCCGCGGCCUGCGCUAGACUGGAGGGUCCGCGUCACUCUCGCCCUCCUGCUUUCCGCGCUCUCACCCGCUCCCGCCUCCUGAGGGCACGACUUGUGGAGGAGCGCGGGCGGCGGGGCGUGAGCGAGCUGCCUCUGCCGCCAUCUUAGAGAAGGCGAGCGUGGGGUGUGCGUGGGCGCGAGUCGGCCUCCCGCGGUGCCGCCGCAGCGUGGCGCGGAGAGGUGAGGUCCAAGCGUGUCCGGCCCUCACUCCAUAACGAAAAAGCGAGGUCAUCACUCCCUAUCUACAAGGGAUGGGAGUAAGUGCCUGUAGAGAGCAAGAAAUUGCCCUGCCCGGAGGCUGAGAAAGCGCAUUUGGCGGUUCCCCUCGACGGAAGGCGUAGAGGGGCGGGGUAGCUUACACCUGCCUGCGAUACCAUCCUGUUAGUUUCUAGUUCUGUUAGUUUCAGCCCUUAAGUGCUCACCCCUCUUUAAAGACCGAACUGGGAGUUGAGCUCAAGCCCGGAUCCUGUUACCUGCCGUGCUCUCAUCCCCCGUUACUCAGCCUACUGUAGCUGAGGGUCUUGCUGUUUGUGGCUGUAUUGAGAUAGACGAAUGGCUUCCGUCUGUGUUGAAUGUUGUUAACACAACCUGCCAUCUCAAACACCCGUUGAUAAGGCACAGCCUGUAAUGCCUCAUGGUUCAAACAGACUCCUCCAAUUCUCUGCAGACUCGAGUCCAGCAGGCACAUGCCCCCAGGCCCUGCCAAUACCCAAAAUCUCCCAACAUUUGCCGCUAAGCUGCUUAACCAGGACAAUGACAUAGUAGAAGUAGAGCCUUAGGAAGUCAGUUCUCCUCUUGAGGCUUAAUUUUUGCACCUGCAAGUAAGGGAUUUGGGCCGGCAUGCGUUCACCAGCGCUAAAAUAAUACUGAGCUCAUUCUGUGUCCCAGAACUGGUGCUAAGUGUUUUACAUACAUUAUCUCAUGUAAUCCCAACAACACCAGUGUUAGGUAAUAUUCGCAUUUGAGGAAAAACAGGCCGAGAGUCCUAAAAGUCGGUGGUUUUAGUUUAUGGCUGCGUGCCAUAGAAUACAAGGUUACCUUGUUUUAGGAACCAGCUACUUUGGGUACGUUUUUAAAAGUAAUAUUGUUGCCUUUGAUAAUCUCAUGAGUUAGAGAUGUUCUUACAAUAAUAAUGUGUUGCAGUAGUGAACAGUGGUGAGCCUAGUGCUAAAGCUAAAAGGUUUCCUGACCCACUGUGGUAGUAAGGGCUUCUAGUCAGACAAAUGAUUGUGUGGUGACCAGUGUGGGUCCCAUUUGACAUACAGAUGGGAAAUGAGGUAUACGUUCCAGCUUUAUGAAAACUGGUAGUCGUUAUGAAUAUUCUCUUUAUUAUAUUUACUGAUAAAGUCCUCAUUCCUAUAAUGGUGUGUAGGGCUGUAUGUUCACACUACAUGGCUCUCUGAAUAGCUUUGUUUUUUUAAAUUCCAUUGUCUGUUAUAGUUUGCCUGUCCCGUCUUUCAUUGUCAGCUGUUGCUUUUUAUUUUUGUCAGUGAACAUAGUUCUAUUAUCCUUACCGCCCUUUUAAUUUAUUGCUCUUAAUCUGCAGGCAAGAAAACCACAUAGUGAACCUUGUGCAAAACUGUAUCUCAAGAGUAUAAAUAGGUACUUCGAGGGACUAUUAAAAAAUAAGUGCAACCCUUGUGCUAGGACAUUAUAGAAUCAGUUUUAAGCUGCUUAAAUUUUUUUUUUUUUUUUUUUUUUUUUUUUUUGCCUUACAGAUUUGGUCUUUUCCAGAGUUAGGAAUAGAUAAAUUUCCUGAAGUUAAUUCUUGAAAAUUUAGAAUUUAGAAUAUUUUCCCAUGUUUUAGGAUACUUGAUGAUGAUACAAUUCUAACCAUAUUGAGGUUAAUAUUUGAAAUGUUAGUGUUACUGCCUGAUAGGGUUUGGCUUUGUGUCCCCACCCAACUCUCAUGUGAAAUCGUAAUCCGAAAGUGUUGAAGGAGGGGCCCUGUGGGAGAUGAUUGGAUCCUGGGGGCAGUUUCUGAUGGUUUAGCACCAUCCCACUAGUGCUGUUUCAAGAGUGACUUCUCACGAGAUCUGCUUGUUUAAAAAUAUUUACCACUACCCCUCUCUCACCUGCCACAAUGUGAAGAAAGUCCUUGUACCCUUCGCCUUCCGCCAUAAUGGAGACGACUCACCUGUAUUGUACCUCUCCAAGUUCUGGAAAGUCGAUGGAGGGUUUACUCAGAACUUCAAUCUAUCCAGAACUGAGUUUUGUUUAUGGUGUGUGCCAGGUUCACGGGCACUUGUGAAGGUUUGUUAUACAGGUAAAUUGUGUGUAACCAGGGUUUGGUGUGAAGAAUAUUUUGUCACCCAGGUAAUAAGCAUAAUACUCUACAGGUAGUUUUCUGUUCCUCUCCCUCCUCCCAAACUCCACCCUCAAGUAGGCUCCAGUGUCUGUUGUUCCCUUCUUUGAGUCCAUGUGUACUCACUGUUUAGCUCCUGCUUAUAAGUGAGAACAUGUGGUAUUUGGUUUUCUGUUCCCGAGUUAUCUCUUGUAGGAUAAUGACCUCCAGCUCCAUCCGUGUUACUGCAAAAGACACAGUCUUGUUCUUUUUAUGGUUAUGUAAUGUCCCAUGGUGUAUAUGUACCACAUUUUCUUCAUCCAGUCUACCAUUGAUGGGCAUUUAGGUUGAUUCCAUGACGUUGCUAUUGUGAAUAGUGCUGAGAGGAACAUACACGUGCAUGUGUUUUUAUAGUAGAAUGAUUUAUGUUCCUUUGAAUAUAUACCCAAUAAUAGGAUUGCUGGGUCAAAUGGUACUUCUGUUUUUACUUCUUUGAGAAACCACCACACCGCUUUCCGCAAUGGCUUAACUAAUUUACAUUUCCACCAGCAGGGUGUAAGUGUUCCUUUUUUCUGCAAACUCACCUGCAUAUAUUAUUUUUUGACUUUUUAAUAAUAGCCAUUCUGACCGGUGUGACAUGGUAAUCUCAUUGUGGUUUCAAUUUGCAUUUCUCUUAUGAUUAGUGAUGUGCAUUUUUUCAUAUGCUUGUUGGCAACACGUAUGCCUUCUUUUGGAAAGUGUCUGUUCAUGUCCCUUGCCCACUUUUUAAUGUAGUUGUUUGUUGUUUGCUUGUUAAUUUAUUUAAGUUCCUUGUAGAUUCUGGGUAUUAGCUCUUUGUCAAAUACAUAGUUUGCAAAUAUUUUCUCCCAUUCUGCAGGUUGUCUGUUUACUCCGUUGACAGUUUCUUUUGCUGUAUAGAAGUUCUUUAGUUUAAUUAGGACCCAUUUGUCAACCUUUGUUUUUGUUGCAAUUGCUUUUGGCAUCUUCAUCAUGAAAUAUUUUCCAGGGCCUAUGUCCAGAAUGGUAUAUUCCCUACGUUAUCUUCCAGGGUUUCUAUAGUUGUAGGUUUUACAUUUAAGUCUUUAAUCCAUCUUGAGUUGAUUUUUGUAUACAGCAGAAGGAAAGGGUCCAGCUUCAAUCGUCUGUAUAUGAUAAGCCAAUUAUCCCAGGACCAUUUACUAAGUAGGGAGUCCUUUCCCCAUUGCUUGUUUUUGUUGACUUUGUCAAAGAUCAAAUGGUUGUAGGUGGCACUAUUUAUGGGCUCUCUAUUCUGUUCCACUCAGUUUUGUUCUUUUUCUUAGCAUUACCUUGGCUAUUAGAGCUCCUUUUUGUUUCCAUUAAAUAGAUUUUUAUAAUUCUGUGAAGAAUAUCAUUGGUAGUUUAAUAGGAAUAGCAUUUAAUCUGUAGAUUGCUUUGGACAGUAUGGCCAUUUUAAUAAUAUUGCUUAUUCGUAUUCAUGAAAGUGGAAUGCUUUUUCAUUUGUUUGUGUCAUCUCUGAUUUCUUUAAGCAGUAUUUUAUACUUCUCACAGAAAUCUUUCACCUUCCUCAUUAGCUAUACUUCCAGGUUUUUUUUUUUCUUUUAUUUGUGGCUAUUGUGAAUGAGAUUACAUUCUUGAUUUGGCUCUCAGCUUGGACAUUGUUGGUGUAUAAAAAGGUUACUGAUUUUUGUAUAUUGAUUUUGUAUCCUUGAAGCUUUGCUGAAGUUGUUUAUCAGAUCUGGGAGCUUUUGGGCAAAGACUAUGGGGUUUUCUAGGUAUAGAAUGGUAUUAUCUACAAAUAGAUAAAUUGGCUUUCUGUCUUCCUAUUUGGAUUCCUUUUCUUUCUUUCUCUUGCCUGAUUGCUCUGGCUAGCACUCCCAGUAGUAUGUUGAAAAAGAGUAGUGAGAGUGAACAUCCAUGCCUUAUUCUGGUUUUCAAGGGGAAUGCUUCCAGCUUUUGCCUAUUCAGUAUGAAGUUGGCUGUUGGUUUGUCAUAGAUGGCUCUUAUUAUUUUGAAGUGUGUUCCUUCAAUGAUUAGUUUGCUGAAGGUUUUAACAUGAAAGAAUGUUGAAUUUUAUCAAAAACUGUUUCUGCAUCUAUUGAGAUGAUCGUAUGGUUUUUGUUUUUAGUUCUGUUUAUGUGGUGAAUCACAUUUAUUGAUUCACGUAUUUUGGAUCAACCUUGCAUCCCAGGGAUAAAGCCUACUUCAUAUGGUGGAUUAGUUUUCUGAUGUGCUGCUGGAUUCAGUUUUCUUGUAUUUUGUUGAAGAUUUUUGCAUCUAUGUUCAUCAAGGAUAUUGGCUUGAGUUUUCUUUGUGUUUUUGUUUACUUUAUGGGAUAUAUAUCAACUUUGUCUUCCAAUCCUUCUACUAAAUUUUAAAAAUUCACUACCACAUCUUUAACUCCAAAAGUUCUUUUUUUGGUUCCCAAAUGUUUCUUUCUUUAUAGCCUCCUAUUCUUGUUUUAUUUAUGUUGUAUCUUUUCUUAAGCUUCUGAAGCUAUUUACAAUAGUCCUUUUUUUAAAAAAAAUAUUUAAUUGACAAAUACAAAUUAUAUAUAUUUAUCAUAUGCAAUAUGUUGUUUUGAAAUAUGUAUACAUUAUGGAAUGGCUAAAUUGAGCUAAUUAACAUUUGUUUCAUUUAGCUUUUUUAGAAAUAUUUUUGCAGUUUUUUUUGGUCAAUGUUGUACACUUCUUGAUUAGACUUAUUCCUAGAUUUGACAUUUUUCAUACUAUUAUAAAUUAUAUAAUUUAAAAAUAUUUAUUUUCUCUCUUUAUGUUGCUGGCAUACAGAAGUACAAUUGAAAUUUGUAUAUUGACCUUGAAUGAAGCAAUCUUGCUAAAUUUACUAAUCACUUAGAUUUUUCUAGAUUUUUUAGGUACACAAUUAUAGUAUCUGCAAAUAAUAACAGAUUUUUUUCUUUCUCUCCAAUUUAUUUAUAUUUGCCCUACUCCCCCCAGUUUUACUGUCUAGGACUCCAGUAUAGUGUUGAACAGAAAUUGUGAUAAUAGGUAUCCUUGUCUUUUUUCCAACUUCAUAGAAAAAAUUCCCAAUAUUUCAUAAAUGAGUAUUAGUUAGCUAGGACCACAGGUGUCCACCAUCUUGCCUGGCUAAUUUUUGUAUUUUCUGUAGAGACAGGGUUUCACCAUAUUGCCCCUACUGGUUUUGAACUCCUGAGCUCAAGUGAUCCACCAGCCUCAGCUUCCCAAAGUGCUGGCUGGGAUUACAGGCAUGAGCCACCACUCCUAGCUUGUAGUUAGUCUUUUGGUUAAGUUCAUCUUUUUGUCUUUCUAUUCAAGAUAUGUGUAAUUAUACCCCACAAUUACGGUGUUAUAAUAUUCUGUGGUUUUCUGUGUGUUCACUAUUACCACUGAGUUUUCUACCUUCAGAUGAUUUCUUAUUGCUCAUUAAUACCCCUUUCUUUCAGAUUGAAAAACUCCCUUUAGCAUUUCUUGUAGGACAGGUCUGGUGUUGGUGAAAUCCCUCAGCUUUUGUUUGUCUGGGAAAGUCUUUUUUUCUCCUUCAUAUUUGAUGGAUAUUUUCACUGGCUGUACUGUUCUAGGUUAAAAGUUUUUUUCCUGCAGCACUUUAAAUAUGUCAUGCCACUCUCUCCUAGACUGUAAGGUUUCCAAUAAGAAGUCUGCUGCUAGAUGCACUGGAGAUGUAUUGUAUGUUAUUUGUUUCUUUUCUCUUGCUGCUUUUAGAAUCCUUCCUUUAUCCUUGAUGUUUGAGAGUUUGAUUAUGAAAUGUCUUGAGGUAGUCUUGUUAAAUCUGCUUGGUGCUCUAUAACCUUCUUGUACUUGAAUAUUGAUAUCUUUCUCUACAUUUAGGAAAUUCUCUGUUUAUAUCCCUUUGAAUAAACUUUCUGCCCUGACCUCCCUCUCUACCUUUGGUUUAGGGGCAAUAGCUUUUAGAUUUCCCCUUUUGGGGCUAUUUUCUAGAUCUUGUCAGUGUGCUUCAUUGUUUCUUAUUCUUGUUUAUUUUUUCUCCUCUGACCAUAUAUUUUCAAAUAGCCUGUCUUCAAGUUCACUAAUUCUUUCUUCUGCUUGAUCAAUUCUGCUGUCAGAAGACACUGAUGCAUUCUUCAUUAUAUGAAUUGCAUGUUAAAGUCCUGAAUUUCUGCUUGAUUCAUUUGCAUUAUUUCAAUCUCUUUGUCAAAUUUAUCUGAUAGGAUUCUGAAUUCCAUCUCUGUGUUAUCUUGAAUUUAAUUGAGCUUCCUCAAAACAGCUAUUUUGAAUGAUUUGUCUGAAAGGUCACGUAUCUCUGUCUCCCUGGGAUUGGUCCCUGGUCCCUUAUUUUAUGCAUUUGGUGAGGUCAUGUUUUCCUGUAUGGGCUUGAUGCUUGUGAACAUUCAUCAGUGCCUGGGCAUUGAAGAGUUAGGUAUUUAUUGUAGUCUUCACAGUCUAGGCUUGUUUGUACUCAUUCUUCUUGGAAAGGUUUUCCAGGUAUUUGAAGGGACUUGGGUGUUGUGAUUUAAUUCUUUGGUCACUGAAGCUGCAUCUGCUCUUAGGGGCACCCCAAGCCCAGUAAUGCUGUGGCUCUUGCAGACUCAUAGAGGUACCCCCUUCUUGGUCUUGUGUAAGAUCUUAGAGAAUUCUCUAGAUCAGAACAGAGACUCUUGUUCUCUUCCCUUACUUUCCCCCAAACAAAUGGGAUCUCUCCCUCUCCCUCUCUCUCUCCCAAAGGCUCUGUAAUCAGUAGGUGGCAAAUCUAGCCAAACUUGUGUCCUUCCCUUCAGGGAAAUGGGAUCCCCUCAGCCCCAGAUGGCUCUGAAGAUGCCAUCCAGGAGCCAGGGCCUGGAGUCAGGAACCUCAGGAAUAUAUUUGGAGUUAUAUUCUAGUGUGACUCAGCUGGUUCCAAAGCCACAAAUCAAAGUCCUUCUCAUUCUUCCCUUCCCUUUCCUCAAGCAGAGGAGUCUCUCUCCAUGACCACCACCACCAUAAGCCUGUGGCAGUACUGUCUGGCUGUCACUGAUGUUCACUGAAGGCCCAAAGACUCUUCCAUCACCUUAUAGUGAAUGCUAUCAGUGCCUAGCUCUCCCUUCAGGGAAGUGGGCUCCCCUCUGGCCCAGGGCAGCCCCAGAAAUACCAUCCAAAAGCCAAGGCCUGGAAUCAGGGACCCGAGUAACCCACUUAAUGUUCUACUCCAUUGUGGCUGACCUGGUACCUAAGUGGCAAGAGAAAGUCUCUUUUACUCUUCCUUCUCCUUUCCUCAACCAGAAGGAUUCUUGCUCUGCAGCCACCACAGCUGGGAAUGUGCUGGGUUACACUUGAAGCCAGCAUGGCUCUGAGGCCCAGAGUGAGUAUUGCCUGGCUACUAGUACUAAUUAUUGAGGGCUUAAGAGCUCUUUAAUUAGCAGGUGAUGAAUUCUUCCAGGAAUGGGUCUUUCCCUUCAAGCCAGCAGGUUUCAUUUUGGCCUAGGGUGUGUUUAGAAAUGUUCAGGAGCUAGGACUCAGAAUGUGAGCCACAGGAGUCUUCUUUUUGUUCUAUUCUACUGUGACUGUGCUGGUAUCCAAGUUGCAAGAGACAAUCCUUUAUACUCUCCCCUCUCUCCUUUCCUCAAGCAGAAGGAAGGGGCUUCUCCUGGAGCUGCAAACUAUGCUUCCUGGGGUUGGGGAAGGGGUGAUAUAAGCGCUCCUUUGGCUUCCCCAGCUAGUGUCUCACUAGGUCACAUUCACCCCAAGUCCACGGUCUCCGAGCCCAGCACAGCAAUAAGACUUGCCCAGGAAUUGCAGUUCUUGUGGCCUAGACUGCCUUUCAAGUUUAUUUAGGACCCCAGAGUGCUUUAGUCCAUGGUGAUAGCACUUGUUGGAACUUCUGCCCUGAUUGCUGGGAUAGAUGAUUCAGCUCUGGCUAGGGCUGGUCUAAAUGCUCCCUCCAUGGGUACUGGGUGAGAUCUGCCUUGUGUUGCUUUCUUCUGUCACAGGGCAGCACUGAGUUCCAAUGCAAAGUUCCACAAUCCCUGCACUUUCCCUCCCUCAAGUGCACUGAUUCUCUCUCCAUGCCUUGUAGCCACUGCCACAAGAUGGGUGAAGGAUGGUGUAGGUAAUUCAAGACUGUAGUUUCUACCCUUUUUAGUGCCUUUUUCUUUAAUAUUUUGCUAAAACCAGGUACUGUUGUCACUCACCUGAUUUUUCAUUCUUAUGAAGGUAUUCUUUUGUGUGGAUAGUUGUUCAAUUUGGUGUUCCUGUGUGUGUGUGUGUAUGGGUGGGGGUUGCUGGAGGCUUUUAUUUGGCCAUAUUGCUCUGCCUCCUCUAUAAACCUCUCCUGGGCUGUAUUUUUUGUUGAGUUAGAGGAAUUUUUUUUAUAUUCUACAUACAUGUUCCUUGUUAGAAGUUAUGUCUUGCCAGUUAUUUUUUUCUUCAACUUUUAUUUUAAGUUCAGGGGUACAUGUGCAGGAUGUGCAGGUUUGUUACAUAGGUAAACCUGUGCCAUAGUGGUUUGCUGCACAGAUCAACCCAUCACUUAGGUAUUAAGCCCAGCAACCAUUAACUAUACUUCCUGAUGGUCUCCCUCCCCCAACCAUUCCCCUCCGACAGGCCCUAGUGUGUGUUGUUCCCCCAGUGUGCCAUGUGUUCUCAUCAUUCAGCUCCUGCUUGUGAGAACAUGUGGUUUUUGGUUUUCUGUUCCUGCUUUGGUUUACUGAGGAUAAUGGCUUCCCAUUCCAUCCAUGUCCCUGUUAAAGGACAUGAUCUCAUUCCUUUUUAUGGAUGCAUAGUAUUCCAUGGUGUAUAUAUAUCACAUUUUCUUUAUCCAGUCUACCACUGAUUGGCAUUUAGGUUGAUGCUGUGACUUUGUUAUUGUGAAUAGUGCUUUAAUGAACACACAUGUGCAUGUAUCUUCAUAACAGAAUGAUUCAUAUUCCUUUGGGUAUAUACCCAGUAGUGGGGUUGCUGGGUCAAAUGUAAUUUAUGCCUUUAGGUCUUUGAGGAAUUGCCACACUGACUUCCACAAUCGUUGAACUAAUUUACACUUCCACCAACAGUGUAAAAGCGAUCCCUUUCUCUGCAACCUCACCAGCAUCUGUUGUUUUUUGACCUUUUAAUACUAGCCAUUCUGACUGGCAUGAGAUGGUAUCUCAUUGCGGUUUUGGUUUACAUUUCUCUAAUAAACAGUCUUAUAUAUGUUUAUUGGCAGCAUAUAUGUUUUAUUUUGAGGAGUGUCUGCUUAUGUACUUUGCUUACUUUUUAAUGGGGUUGUUUGUCUUUUUUCUUGUAAAUUUGUUUAAGCUCCUUGUAUAUUCUGGAUAUUAGAUCUUUGCCAGAUGAAUAGAUUGCAUAAAUUUUCUCCCAUUUUGUAGGUUGUCUGUUCACUCUGAUGAUAGUUUCUUUUGCUGUGCAGAACCUCUUUAGUUUAAUUAGAACCUAUUUGUCAAUUUUUGCUUUUGUUACAAUUGCUUUUAGCAUUUUCAUCAUGAAAUUUUUGCACGUGCCUAUGGCCUGAAUGGUAUUGCCUAGAUUUCCUUCUAAGGUUUUUAUAGUUUUGGGUUUUACAUUUAAAUCUUUAAUUCAUCUUGAGUUAUUUUUUUAUAUGGUGUAAGGAACGGGUCCAGUUUUAAUAUUUUGCAUAUGGCUAGCCAGUUCUCACAGCACCAUUUAUUAUAUAGGGAAUCCUUUCCCCAUUGUUUGUUUUUGUCAGGUUUGUUGAAUAUCAGAUGAUUGGAGGUAUGUGGUCUUAUUUCUGAGUUCUCUAUUCUGUUCCAUUGGUCUAUGUGUACAAGUACGAUGUUGUUUUGCUUUCUGUAGCCUUGUAGUAUAGUUUGAAAUUGGGCAGUGUGAUGUCUCCAGCUUUGUUCUUUUUGCUUAGGAUUGUCUUGGCUAUUUGGGCUCUUUUUUGGUUCCAUAUGAAUUCUAAAAUAGUUUUCUUUUUCUAAUUCUGUGAAGAAUUUCAAUGGUAGCUAAAUGGGAAUAGCAUUGAAUAUAUAAAUUACUUUGGGCAAUAUGGCCAUUUUCACAAUAUUGGUUCUUUCUACCCAUGAGCAUGGAAUGUUUUCCCGUUUGUUUGUGUCCUCUCUAAUUUCUUUGUGUAGUCGUUGGUAGUUCUCCUGGAAGAGGCCCUUCACUUCCCUUAUUACCUGUAUUCAGAGGUAUUUUAUUCCUUUGUAGCAAUUGUGAAUGGGAGUUCAUUCAAGAUUUGGCUCUCUGAUGGCCUGUUGUUGGUGUAUAGGAAUGCUAGCAAAUUUUGCACAUUGAUUUUGGAUCCUGAGACUGCUGAAGUUGCUUAUUAACUUAAGAAGCUUUUGGGCUCAGAUGAUGAGGUUUUCUAGAUAUAGAAUCAAGUCAUCUGCAAACAAAGAAAAUUUGACUUCCUCUCUGCCUAUUUGAAUACACCUUAUUUCUUUCUCUUGCCUUAUUGCCCUGGCCAGAACUUCCAAUACUGUGUUGAAUAGGACUGGUGAGACAGGGCAUUCUUGUCUUGUGCCAGUUUUCAAGGGGAAUGCUUCCAGCUUUUGCCCACUGACUAUGAUAUUGGCUGUGAGUUUGUCACGUAUGACUCUUACUAUUUUGAGGUAUGUUCUUUCAAUACCUAGUUUAUUGAAAGUUUUUCACAUGAAGGGAUGUUGAAUGUUAUCAAAGGCCUUUUCUGCAUCUUUUGAGAUAAUCAUGUGGUUUUUGUCUUUAGUUCUGUUUAUGUGAUGAAUCACAUUUAUUGGUUUGCAUAUGUUGAACCAACAUUGCAUCCCAAGAUGAAACCAAUUUGAUCACGUUUGAUAAGCUUUUGAUGUGCUGCUGGAUUCAGUUUGACAGUAUUUUAUUGAGGAUUAUUACAUUGAUGUUCAUCAAAGUUAUUGGCUUGAAGUUUUCUUUUUUUGUUGUAUUUCUGCCAGGUUUUGGUAUAAGGACGAUGCUGGCCUCAUAGAAUGAGUUAAGGAGGAGUUCCUCCUUUUCAAUUGUUUGAAAUAGUUUCAGUAGAAAUGUUAUCGGUUCUUCUUUGUACCUCUGGUAGAAUUCAGCCAGGACCUCUGGUCCUGGGCUUUUUUUGGUUGAUAGGCUAUUUAUUACUGCCUCUAUUUCAGAACUCAUUAUUGGUCUAUUCAGGGAUUCAGUUUCUUCCUGGUUCAGCCUUGGGAGGGUGUAUGGGUCCAGGAAUUUAUCCAUUUCUUCUCAAUUUUCUAGUUUAUGUGCAUAGAGGUGUUUAUAAUAUUCUCUGAUGGUUGUUUGUAUUUCCAUGAUAUCAGUGGUGAUAUCCUUCUUAUUUCUGAUAGUGUUUCUUUUAAUUAGUAUAGCUAGUGGUCUAUCUAUUUUAUUAAUUUUUUGAAAAAACAAGCUCCUGGGUUUGUUGGUUUUUUGAAGGGUUUUUCAUGUCAUCUCCUUCAGUUCAGCUCUGAUCUUGGUAAUUUCUUGUCUACUGUUAGCUGUGGGAGUUGUUUCCUCUUGGUUCUCUGGUUCUGUUAGUUGUGAUGUUAAGUUGUCAACUUGAGAUCUUUCUAUCUUUUCGAUGUGGGCAUUUAGUGCUAUAAAUUUCCCUCUUAAUGCUGCUUUAGCUGCAUCCCAGGAAUUCUAAUAUGUUAUCUCUUUGUUCUCAUUAGUUUCAAAGAACUUUUUGAUUUCUGCCUUAAUUUCAUUAUUUACCCAAGAACCAUUCUAGAGCAGGCUGUUCAAUUUCCAUGUAGUUGUGUGGUUUUGAAUGAAUUCCUUUUUUUUCUUUUUUUUUUUUUGAGACAAACUCUCACUCUGUCACCCAGGCUGGAGUGCAGUGUCAUGAUCAUAGCUCACUGUAACCUCCGCCUCCCAGGUUCAAGCAAUUCUCCUGCCUCAGCUUCCUGAGUAGCUGGGACUACAGGCGUGUGCCACCGCACCCGGGUAAUUUUUUGUAUUUUAUUAGUAGAGAUGGGGUUUCACCAUAUUGGCCAGCUGGUCUUGAACUCCUGACCUCGUGAUCUGCCUGCCUCGGCCUCCCAAAGUGCUGGGAUUACAGGCAUGAGCCACCGCGCCCAGCCAGUUUUGAGUGAAUUUCUUAAUCUUGAGUUCUAAUUUGUUUGUGCUGUGGUCUGACAGACUGUUAUGAUUUCAGUUUUUUCUUUUACAUUUGCUGAAAAGAGUUUUACUUCAAAUUAUGUAAUCAAUUUUAGAAUAAGUGCUGCAUGGCAAUGAGAAGAAUGUAUAUUCUCUGUUGUUUUGAGGUACACAGUUCUGUAGAUAUCUACUAGGUGCACUUGAUCCAGAGCUGAAUUCAGGCCCUGUAUAUCUUUGUUAAUUUUCUGUCUUGAUAGUCUAAUAUUGUUAAUGGGGUGUUAAAGUCUCCCACUAUUAUUGUGUGAGAGUCUAAGUCUCUUUAUAGGUCUCUAACAACUUGCUUUAUGAAUAUGGGUGCUCUUGUAUUGGGUGCAUAUAUAUUUAGGAUAGUUAGCUCUACCUGUUGAAUUGAGCCCUUAAUCAUUAUGUAAUAUCCUUCUUUGUCUUUUUUUUUUUUUUUAAAUCUGUGUUGGUUUAAAGUCUGUUUUGUCAGAAAUCAGGAUUGCAACAUCUGCUUUUUUCUGUUUUUCAUUUGCUUGGUAAAUUUUCCUCCAUUCCUUUAUUUUGAUCCUAAUGUUUGUCUUUGCAUGUUAGAUGGAUCUCUUGAAGGCAGCAUACCAAAGGGUCUUCACUCUUUAUCCAAUGUUCCAUUCUGUGUCUUUUAUUUGGGGCAUUUAGCCCAUUUACAUUAAAGGUUAGCACAUAUAUAUAUAUACUUUAAGUUCUGGGAUACAUGGACUGAACAUGAAGGUUUGUUACAUAGGUAUACAUGUGCCAUGAUGGUUUGCUGCACCCAUCAAUCUGUCAUCUACAUUAGGUAUUUCUCCUAAUGCUAUCCCUCCUCUUGCCCCCAUCCCCUGAAAGGCCCCAGUGAGUGAUGUUGCCCUCCCUAUGCCCAUAUGUUCUCAUUGUUCAACUCCCACUGAUGAGUGAGAACAUGCAGUGUUUGGUUUUCUCUUCCUGUGUUAGUUUGUUGAGAAUGACGGUUUCCAGCUUCAUCCAUGUCCCUGUAAAGGAGAUGAACUCAUUCUUUUUUAUGGCUGCAUAGUAUUCCAUCGUGUAUAUGUGCCACAUUUUCUUUAUCCAGUCUAACAUUAAUGGGCAUUUGGGUUGGUUCCAAGUCUUUGCUAUUGCAUAUAAUGCUGCAAUAAACAUACGUGUGCAUGUGUUUUUAUAGUAAAAUGAUUUAUAAUCCUUUGGGUAUAUACCCAGUAAUGGGAUUGCUGGGUCAAAUGGUAUUUCUAGUUCUAGGUCCUUGAGGAAUUGCCACAUUGUCUUCCACAAUGGUUGAACUAAUUUACAUUCUCACCAACAGUGUAAAAGCAUUCCUAUUUCUCCACAUCCUCACCAGCAUCUCUUGUUUCCUGACUUGUUAAUGAUUGCCAUUCUAACAGACGUGAGAUAAUAUCUGAUUGUGGUUUUGAUUUGCAUUUCUCUAAUGACCAGUGAUGAUGAGCUUUUUUUCAUAUGUAUGUUGCCGGCGUAUGGCAGCAUAAAUGCCUUUUGAGAAGUGUCUGUUCAUAUCCUUUGCCCAAUUUUUGAUGGGUUUUUUUUUUUCUUGUAAAUCUGUUGAAGUUCCUUGUAGAUUCUAUAUAUUAGGCCUUUGUCAGAUGGAUAGAUUGCAAAAAUUUUCUCCCAUUCUGCAGGUUGCCUAUUCACUCUGGUGAUAGUUUCUUUUGCUGUGCAGAAGUUCUUUACUUUACUUACAUACCAUUUGUAAAUUUUGGCUUUUGUUACCAUUGGUUUUGAUGUUUUGGUCAUGAAGCAUUUGCCCAUGCCUAUGUCCUGAUUGGUAUUGCCUAGGUUUUCUUCUAGGAUUUCUAUGGUUUUAGGUCUUAUGUUUAAAUCUUUAAUCCACUUUGAGUUAAUUUUUGUAUAAGGUGUAAGGAAGGGGCCCAGUUUCAGUUUUCUGCAUAUGGCUAGCUACUUUUCCCAACACCACUUAUUAAAUAGGGAAUCAUAUUACCAUGGCUUGUUUCUGUCAGGUUUAUCAAAGAUCAGAUUGUUGUAGAUGUGUGGUGUUAUUUCUGAGGCCUCUGUUCUGUUGCAUUGGUCUAUAUAUCUGUUUUGGUACAAGUACCUUGCUGUUUUGGUUACUGUAGCCUUGUAGUAUAGUUUGAAGUCAGGUAGCAUGAUGCCUUCAGCUUUGUUCUUUUUGCUUAAGAUUGUCUUGGCUAUACAGGCUCUUUUUUGUUUCCAUAUGAAAUUUAAAGUAGAUUUUUCUAAUUCUGUAAAGAAAGUCAAUGGUAGCUUGAUAGGAAUAGCAUUGAAUCUAUAAAUUACUUUGGUCAGUAUGGCCAUUUUCGUGAUAUUGAUUCUUCCUAUCCAUGAGCAUGGAAUGUUUUUCCGUUUGUUUGUGUCCUCUCUUAUUUCCUUGAGCAGUGGUUUGUAGUUCUCCUUGAAGAGGUUUUUCACAUCCCUUGUAAGUUGUGUUCAUAGGUAUUUUAUUCUCUUUGUAGCAAUUGUGAAUGCGAUUUUGCUCAUGAUUCGGCUCUCUGUCUAUUAUUGAUGUAGAGGAAUACUUGUGAUUUUUGCACAUUGAUUUUGUAUCCUGAGACUUUUUUGAAGUUCCUUGUCAGCUUAAGAGAUUUUCAGGCUGAGACAAUGGGGUUUUCUAAAUAUACAAUCAUAUCAUCUACAAACAGAGAUAAUUUGACUUCCUAGCUUUUUAUCUGAAUAUGCUUUAUUUCUUCCUCUUGCCUGACUGCCCUGGCCAGAACUUCCAAUACUGUGUUGAAUAGGAGUGGUGAGAGAGGCAUCCUUGUCUUGUGCCGGUUUUCAAAGGAAAUGCUUCCAGUUUUUGCCCAUUCUGUAUGAUAUUGGCUGUGGGUUUGUCAUAAACAGCUCUUUAUUAUUUUGAGAUAUGUUCCAUCAAUACCUAGUUUAUUGAGAGUUUUUAGCAUGAAGUGCUGUUGAAUUUUAUCUAAAGCCUUUUCUGCAUCUAUUGAGAUAAUCACAUGGUUUUUGUCAUUGGUUCUGUUUAUGUGAUGGAUUACAUUUGUUGAUUUGCAUAUGUUGAACCAGCCUUGCAUCCCAGAGAUGAAGCUGAGUUGAUUGUGGUGGAUGAGCUUUUUGAUGUACGGCUGGAUUCGGUUUGCCAGUAUUUUUUUUGAGGAUUUUCACAUCAAUGUUCAUCAGGGAUAUUGGCCUGAAAUUUUCUUUUUUGUUGUGUCUCUGCCAGGUUUUGGUAUCAGGAUGAUGCUGGCCUCAUAAAAGGAGUUAUGGAAGAGUCCCUCUAUUUCUAAUGUUUGGAAUAGUUUCAGAAGGAAUGGUACCAGCUCCUCUUUGUAUCUCUGGUAGAAUUUGGCUGUGAAUCUGUCUGGUCAUGGGCUUUUUUUGGUUGGUAAGCUAUCCUGCCUCAAUUUCAGAUCUUGUUAUUGGUCUAUUCAGGGAUUUUACUUCUUCCUGGUUUAGUCUUGAGAGGGUGUAUUUGUCCAGGAGUUUAUCCAUUUCUUCAAGAUUUCCUAGUUUAUUUGCAUAGAGGUGUUUAUGGUAUUCUCUGAUGGUAGUUUGUUUUUCUGUGGGAUCAGUGGUGAUCUCCCCUUUACCAUUUUUUAUUGCAUCUAUUUUAUUCUUCUCUCUUUUCUUCUUUAUUAGUCUGGCUAGUGGUCUAUCAAUUUUGUUAACCUUUUCAAAAAAAAAACAGUUUCUGGAUUCAUUGAUUUUUUUGAAGUGUUUUUUGUGUUUCUACCUACUUCAGUUCUGCUCUGAUCUUAGUUAUUUCUUGUCUUCUGCUACCUUUUGAAUUUGUUUGCUCUUGCUUCUCUUGUUCUUUAAAUUGUGAUGUUAGGGUGUCUAUUUUAGAUCUUUCCUACUUUCUCCUAUGGGCAUUUAGCGCUAUAAAAUUCCCUCUAAACACUGCUUUAGCUGUGUCCCAGAGAUUCUGGUACAUUGUGUCUUUGUUGUCAUUGGUUUCAAAGAACUUAUUUAUUUCUGCCUUAAUUUCGUUAUUUACCCAGUAGUCAUUCAGGAGCAGGUUGUUCAGUUUCCAUGUAGUUGUGCAGUUUAGAAUGAGUUUCUUAAUCCUGAGUUCUAAUUUGAUUGCACUGUGGUCUGAGAGACUGUUAUGAUUUCUGUUCCUUUGCGUUUGGUGAGGAGUGUUUUACUUCCAAUUAUGUGGCUGAUUUUAGAAUAAGUGGUAUUUGCUGCUGAGAAGAAUGUAUAUUCUGUUGAUUUGGGGUGGGGAGUUCUGUAGAUGUCUAUUAGGUCCACUUGGCCCAGGGCUGAGUUCAAGUCCUGAAUAUCCUUAUUAAUUUUCUGUCUUGAUGAUCUGUCUAAUAUUGACAGUGGGGUGUUAAAGUCUCCCACUAUUAUUGUGUAGGAGUCUAAGUCUCUUUGUAGGUCUCUAAGAACUUGGUUUAUGAAUCUGGGUGCUCCUGUAUUGGGUGCAUAUAUAUUUAGGAUAGUUACUGCUUCUUGUUGCAUUGAUCCCUUUACCAUUAUGUAAUGCCCUUCUUUGUCUUUUUUGAUCUUUGUUGGUUUAAAGUCUGUUUUAUCAGAGGCUAGGAUUGCAAUCCCUGUUUCUUUUUGCUUUCCAUUUGCUUGGCAAAUAUUCCUCCAUCCCUUUAUUUUGAGCCUAUGUGUGUCUUUGCACGUGAGAUGGGUGGGUCUCCCGAAUACAGCACACUGAUGGGUCUUGACUCUUUAUCCAAUUUUCCAGUGUGUGUCUUUUAAUUGGGGGAUUUAGCCCGUUUACAUUUAAGGGUAAUAUUGUUAUGUGUGAAUCUGAUCCUGUCAUUAUAAUGCUAGCUCAUUAUUUUGCCCAUUAGUUGUUGCAGUUUCUUCAUAGUGUUGAUAUUCUUUACAUUUUGGUUUGUUUUUUCAGUGCUAGUACCAGUUUUUCCUUUCCAUAUUUAAUGCCUCCUUCAGGAGCUCUUGUAAGCCAGGCCUGGUGGUGACAAAAUUCCUCAGCAUUUGUUUGUCUGGAAAGGAUUUUAUUUCUCCUACACUUAUGAAGCUAAGUUUGGCUACAUAUGAAAUUCUGGGUUGAAAAUUCCUUUCUUUAAGAAUGUUGAAUAUUGUCUCCCACUCUCUUCUAGCUUAGCAUUUCUGCAGAGAGAUCCGCUCUUAGUCUGAUGUGCUUCCUUUUGUGGGUAACCCAACCAUUCUCUCUGUCUGCCCUUAACAUUUUUUCCUUCAUUUCAACCUUGGUGAAUCUGAUGAUUAUGUGUCUUGGGGUUGCUCUUCUCGAAGAAUAUCUCUGUGGUGUUCUCUGUAUUUCCUGAACUUGAAUGUUGGCCUGUCUUGCUAGGUUGGGGAAUUUCUCCUGGAUAAUACCUGAAGUGUGUUUUCCAACAUGGUUCCAUUCUCCCUGUCACUUUCAGUUAAACCAAUCAAAUGUAGGUUUGGUCUUUUCAGAUAGUCCCAUAUUUCUUGGAGGCUAUGUUCAUUCCUUUUUGUUCUUUUUUCUCUAAUCUUGUCUCCACACUGUAUUUCAUUAAGUUGAUCUUCAAUCUCUGGUGUCAUUUCUUCCACUUGAUAAUUCAGCUAUUGAUAAUCAUGUAUGCUUCACGAAGUUCUCAUGCUGUGUUUUUCAACUCCAUCUGGUCAUUUAUUUUCUUCUCUAAACUGGUUAUUCUAGUUAGCAAUUCCUCUAACCUUUCAUCAAAGUUCUUAGCUUCCUUGCAUUGGGUUAGAACAUGCUCCUUUAGCUUGGAGGAGUUUGUUAUUGCCCACCUUCUGAAGCCUACUUCUGACAAUUGAUCAAACUCAUUCUCCAUCCAAUUUCGUACCCUUGCUGGCAAGGAGUUGUGAUCCUUUGGAGGAGAAGAGGCAUUCUGUUUUUUGGAAUUUUCAGCCUGUUUGUGCUGGUUUUUCCUCAUCUUCUUGGAUUUAUCUACCUUUGGUCUUUGCUUUUGGUGACCUUCAGAUGGAGUUUUUGCGUGGUCAUCCUUUUUGUUGAUGUUGAUGCUAUUUCUUUCUGUUUGUUAGUUUUUCUUCUAACAGUCAGGCCCCUCUUCUGCAGGUCUGCUGGAGUUUUCUGGGGGUCCACUCCAGAUCUUGUUUACCUGGGUAUCACCAGCAGAGGCUGCAGAACAGCAAAGAUUCCUGCCUGCUCCUUCCUCUGGAAGCUUCGUUCCAGAGGGACGCCUGCCAGAUGCCAGCUGGAUCUCUCCUGUAUGGGGUGUCUGUUGACCCCUGCUGGGAGGUGUCUCCUUGUCAGGAGGCACUGGGGUCAGGGACUCACUUGAGGAGGCAGUCUGUUCCUUAGCAGAGCUCAAGCGCUGUGCUGGGAUAUCCAUUGCUCUCUUCAGAGCUGGCAGGCAGGAAUGUUUAAAUCUGCUGAAGCUGCACCCACAGCUGCCCCUUCCCCCAGGUGCUCUGUCUCAGGGAGAUGAGAGUUUCGACUAUAUGCUCUGACUGGAGCUGCUGCCUUUCUUUCAGAGAUGCCCUGCCCAGAGAGGAGGAAUCUAGAGAGGCAGUCUGGCUAUAGUGGCUUUGCUGAGCUGUGGUGGGCUCUGCCCAGUCCAAACUUCCAGGUGGUUUUGUUUACACUAUGAGGGGAAGACCGCCUACUCAAGCCUCAGUAAUGGUAGAUGCCCCUACUCCCACCGAGCUCGAGCAUCCCAGGUCCACUUCAGACUGCUGUGCUGGCAGCGAGAAUUUCAAGCCAGUGGAUUUUAGCUUGCUGGGCUCUGUCAGAGUGGGAUCUGCUGAGCAAGACCACUUGGCUCCCUGCCUUCAGCCUCCUUUCCACUGGUAAGGGUCUAUCUUGCUGGUGUUCCAGGAGCCACUGGAAUAUGAAAAAACAAACAAACAAACAAACAAAAAAACUCCUGUGGUUAACUUGGUGUCUGCCCAAACAGCCACCUAGUUUUAUGCUUGAAACCCAGGGCCUUUGUGGUGUAGGCACCUGAGGGAAUCUCCUGGUCUGCAGGUUGUGAAGACUGUGGGAAAAGUGUAGUAUCUGGGCCGGAUAGCACCAUUCCUCACUGCACAGUUCCUCACAGCUUCCCUUGGCUAGGGAUAGGAUUUCCUCGACCUCUUGCACUUCCCGGGUGAGGCGACACCUCACCCUGCUUCUGCUCGCCCUCUGUGGGCUGUACCACCUGUCUAACCAGCCCCAAUGAGAUGAACCGGGUACCUCAGUUGGAAAUGCAGAAAUCACUUGCCUUCUGUGUUGGUCUUGCUGGGAGCUGCAGACAGGAGCUGUUGCUAUUAGGCCAUCUUGCCCAGGAAACCAAGGUUAGUAUUGUUAUGUGUGAAUUUGAUCUGUCAUCAUGGUGUUAGCUGGUUAUUUUGCACACUUGCUAAUGUAGUUGCUUCAUAGUGUCACUGAUCUGUGUACUUCAGUGUGUUUUUAUAGUGGCUGGUAACAGGUUUUCCUUUUCAUAUUUUGUGCUUCCUCCAGGAGCUUUUGCAAGGCAGGGCUGUUGGUGACAAAUUCCCUCAGCAUUUGCUUGUCUGAAAAGGAUCUUAUUUCUUUGCUUAGGAGGCUUAGUUUGGCUAGAUAUAAAAUUCUGAGUUGAAAAUUAUUUUCUUUAAGAAUGUUGAAUAUUGGCUCCUAAUCUCUUCUGACUUGUAGGGUUUCCACUGAGAUGUCUGCUGCUAGUCUGAUGGACUUCCCUUGGUAGGUGAUCUGGCCUUUCUCUCUGGCUGCCCUUAACAUUUUUUCUUUUAUUUCGACCUUGGAGAAUCUGAUGAUUAUGUGUCUUGAGUUGAUUUUCUUGUGGAGUAUCUUAUUGGGGUUAUCUGCAUUUCCUGUAUCUGAAUGUUGGCCUGUCUUGCUAGGUUGGGGAAGUUCUCCUGGUUAAUAUCCUGAGGUAUGUUUUCCAACUUGGUUCCAUUCUCCUCAUCUCUUUCAGGUACCCCAGUCAAUUGUAGGUUCAUUCUCUUCACAUAAUCCCAUAUUUCUUGCAGGUUUUGUUCAUUCCUUUUCAUUCAUUUUUCCCUAUUCUUGUCUGCCUGUCUUAUUUCAGAAAGGUAGUCUUCCAGCUCUGAUAUUCUUUCCUAUGCUUAGUCUAUUCUGCUAUUGAUACUUGUGAUUGCAUUGUACUCAUGUUGUGUUUUUCAGCUCCAUCAAGUUGGUUACAUUCCUCUCUAAACUGGCUGUUCUGGCUAUUUGUUCAUGUAUUGUUUUCUGUGAUUUUUGGCUUCUUUGCAUUGGGUUAGAACAUGCUCCUUUAGCUCUCAGCGAAGUUCAUUAUUACUCACCUUCUGAGGCUUACUUCUGUCAAUAAGUCAUCUCGGCCUCAGCCCAGUUCUGCGCCCUUGUUGGAAAGGUGUUGUGGUCAUUUAGAGGAGAAGAGGAGCUCUGGUUUUUUGAGUUUUCAGCAUUUUUUUGGUUGAUUCUUUCUCAUGUUUGUGGGCUUAUCUACUUUUGAUAUUUGAGGUUGCUGACCUUUGAAUGGGAUUUUGUGGGAUCUUUCUUUGUGGAUAUUGCUGGGAUUUUGUUUGUUUUUCUUUUAAUAGUCAGGCCACUCUUCCGCAGGGCUGCUGUGGUUUGCUGGCGGUCUGCUCCAGACCCUAGUUGCCUUGGUUUUCCCCAUACCUGGAGGUAUCACCAGUGAAGGCUAUGAAACAGCAAAGAUGGCAGCCUGCUCCUUCCUCUGGAAGCUCCAUCCUGGGAGGGUGCUGACCUAUUGCUGGUUUGAGCAUGCCCGUAGUAGGUGGCUGGAGACACCUAUUGGGAGGUCUCACCCAGUCAGGAGGAACAGGAUCAGGAACAUGCUUAAAGAAUCAGUCUGGCUGCUUUUUGGUAGAGCAGGUGUGCUGCACUGAGGGGGACCCUUACUCAUCCAGACCAUUUGGGUUCUCCACAGCUAGCAGGCUGGAACUGCUGAGUCUACCAAACUACAGAGAUGGCAGCCACCCCUUACCCCAUGAGCUCCAUCCCAAGGAGAAAUCAGAGCUGUCUGUAUAACCCUGGCUGAAGUGGCUGAAGCCCUUGCAGGGAGGUCCCUCCAAGUAAGGAGGAAUGGAUCAGGGCCCUGCUUAAAGAAACAGUCUGGCUAACAGCUGACAAGGCAAUUGUGCUGUGUUGUGGGGGACCCUUCCUCGUCUGGACAGCUAGGAUUCUCCAGUGCUGGCAGGCUGAAAUGGCUGAGUCUACUGACCUACAGAGAUGGCAGUCACCCCUCCCCUGGGAACUUGGUCCUGCGUCAGUCAGACUCCAGCCUGUGCCACUGGCUGGCUGGAAUUCCAAGCCAGUGGGUCUUAAUUUGUGAGGUGCUGUGAAAGUGGGACCCACAGAACAAUGCUGAUUGGCUCCCUAGAUUCAGCCCUCUUCCUAGGGAUAUGAACAGACAGAUCUCCCACCUUGCUGGGGAUCCUGGGGCUGAAAUAUGUAAAAUUCCUGGGUCUCUCUGUGUGCCUGAGCAGCUGCUCUGCCUAGACUCCACACAGCUCUGUUUAUCAGACCCAAGGCCCUGAGGGCAUGGGCUCGUGAGGGGAUUUCCUGAUCCACAGGUUGCAAGGAUCCACGGGAGAAGCAUGAUUUCCUGGGCAGGGUCAUACAAUCACUUACUGCUUCAUACAGUCACUACCUGGCUGGGGUGGGGGUUCCUUUGCCUCUGUGCUGCUCCCAAGUAGGCUAUCUGUUGCCCCACCCUGCUUUUCUUCGUUCUUCGUGGGUUGUUUGCCUAGUCAGUCCCAGUGCAAGAACCUGGAUAUUUCAGUUGAAGGUGCUGACUGAAUUCACUUGCUCCUUUCAUUCCUCUCUGUAAGUGCCUUGGACCGCAGUUGCAUCUAAUCGGCCGUCUUGGCCCUGACCCACUAAUUUUCUUAGUGUGUUUUUUGUUGAACAGAGAUUUUUAUUUUGAUGAAGUCCAAACUUAUCAGGUUUUAUGUUUUUGUUUGUUUGUUUCUUGGCUAGUCCUUUUUCUGUCCUGUGAAAAAAUCUUGGCCUAUCUCGAGGUUAAACUUAUUUUUUUCCUGUCUUCUUCUAGUCUUAUAACUUACAUUUCAGAUUAUUAUCUAUUUUGAUCUUUUUCUUGUAAAAAGGAAAAAUAUGGAUGAAGAUUGAUUUUUUUUUUCCAUAGAGGUAUUCAAUUGCUUUAGCACUGUUUGUUGAAAAGACUAUUCUUUCUCCUAUUGAAUUGCUUUGCUACCCUUGGAGAAAAUCAGUUAACUCUUUAAGUGUGGAUCUAUAUCUGAGCUCUCUUCUCUUACGCAUUAAACCAUUUGCUACUGUUCUACAGGUUUCUGAGCUUCUAUUUAUUUUUCAUCAAUUGUCUUUCUGUCUUGUCUUCAGAUUGGACUUUUUUUAUUAAUCUGUCUUAAAGUCCCAUGAUAUUUUCUUCUUUGGUGUCUAGUCUGCUUUCAAGCCCAUCCAGUGAAUUUUUAAUUUCAGAUAUUGUAUUUUUCCAUUCCGAAGUCUUCAUUUGUUUGUUCUAGAUAGUUUCCAUUUCUCUAUUGAGAUUUCCUAGUGGUUCCUUUCAUUAUGUUUAUGUUUUACUUUGUAUUCUUAAACAUACAUGCCUUAAUGCUACAUUCUAAUACAUAAUUUCUGUGAUUUGUAAGUCUCAUUAUUAUGGAUAGAUUUUCCUCUGUAUUGUAGGCCACCUUUUCCUGCUUAUUUAUAUAUGUAGUAAUUUUGUAUUGAAUGCCAUCAAUUUUGUUCUCUUUUGUAAAGAGGAUUGAACUUUGUUAUGGCAGGUAGUUAAUUUACUUGUGCAUCCACUUGAUCCUUUAGAGGACUAUUUAUAAGCUUUAAUAUGGCAGGUCUAGUCUGGGGCUGGAAUAGCCUACUUAUUAGAUUUGGCCUUUCUUGUGUGUCAAUUGCAUGUCUGCAGGUUUAUUUAAGUGUCUCACUUGAGCUAGGCAGAAACCCAACAUUUCCAAGCCCUGUGCAAGCUCUGGAAUCCCCUUUCAACUCAUAGUUUUUCUUGGCCUUCCACUGCCUUAUUUUGUACUUGCAUUGCUUAAUCUUUGGCCAAAGACUCAAGGGAACCAAAUUCAGAUUUCUAGAUUUUCUUCUUUUUACAGUUCUCUCCUUUUCCCCAUGCUUCAUAUUUCAGCCACUUCUGCAGCUAUUAUUUUUCUCUUUAUUUUAUUUUGUCUUAUAAUAAAAUUGUGUGGAUUCAAUUACGAUCCUUCUCCAUUGCUUAAUUUAAGUAAAAAUAGUUUUUCUAUACAUUCUGAAUGUAGGAAUGGAUUAGGUUAACAUUUUUGCUGGUGUGAUCUAGGACUGUCUUUGCUAUUUUUUCUGGAAGUGAUAAAAUAUAUAUUCUCUUACUUUUCAAAGUCUGCUGCCUCCUGUCCUCCUUCCCAUUUUAUCCAGAUCUUCUCUUUUCCCCACCCACUACUGUCCCUGUCUUGCCCAAUGUGGGUUAUAUUCCAAGCAGUUUCUGCUAAGUGUGACCUUGUCCCAAUAGGAGCCUCAGAUGUCAUAGUUUUUAAAGUCCUUAGGGCCAUACAAUCCUAACAGUUCAGAACUUACGAUAACUGUCUUAUCCUGUCCCUGUGAACUGGACUCUAAAAGUGUACAUUUUAGAUUCUGUUCUCAGAUUGUCCCCUGGCAAUUUCCAGUGAGUACCUGUUGGUGAUUUUGAGGUUCUUCUAUUCUCAGGGCCAUCUUGUUGCCUUUCCUCAGCUUUCUCUUGCACAGACACUGAUGGAUCUUAUAAAAUGGGCUAUUUGUCACCACUUGUUUAUAUUUUAGGUUCUUGAGAAUAUUUUAUUGCCUAGUUUAGUUGUAGAUAUUGUGCUUGAGUUUUUGCUUUCAUUAUCCUACUUGUUCUUUCUGUUUUAUUAAUGAUUCAGGGAGAUUCACUGCCAAUACUGCCAGCCUAAAAUAUUCCUUUAUUUCUUACUAAACAUUAUGUCAUCUUUGUCAUGAAGAGGAAGACGUACUUCAAUUCAUGCAUUUCUUAAACUUUAAAAAUCACUAAUGUAGCAUUAAUUGAUUUAAAAAUUCUACACAGGAUUAGGGAUAAAAAUUGUUUACUUAGAGUGCUGACUAAAAAUUAUAAAUGCACAUUCUGUAAAAGGGCUUGGAUUUGUAUAGUGAAGAAUUAACUUUACCCAAAGAGAGCUCUGGCUUUUGCUUUUGGCUACUGGGAGGAGAUCUCUAGGCCCCAGGAAUGUCCUGCUUGAUGUGAAUGUUUUUGUUUGCCUGGGAGCUUUUACCAGUGAACAGUCCGACAGUGUGAUUUAUGAUGAAGAUUUUGGAACAUACUACCUCAGCUCUAACAUCCAGAGGAACUAGAGGCUAAAGGCAUUAGCCUAAGCCUCCAGGAUGGGCUGGAGCCUAAAGAUCAGCCUCAUGAGCAGUACAUGCUCAAGCUCCAGUAAAACUCUGGACACCAAAGGCUCAAAUGAGAUUUCCUGAUGACAGUACUCUGUGUAUUGUCAGGUAUAAACUGGCUGCGAGGGUAAUGCAUCCCUGAAGAUGAUGGAAGUUGUGUGUUUGGACCUUUUCAUACCUUGCUCUAUGUGACUCUAUAUGACUCUCCCUUUCGUUGGUUCUGAUGUGUAUCUUUUUGCUAUAACACAAUUGUCCUCACAAGUAUAGCGCCUUCUGGGGUUCUGUGAGUUUUUCUAGUGAAUUAUCAAAACUGAGGGGGUAGUGGGAACCCCUGACUUUGUAGCCAACUGAUCAGAAGUAAAGGAGGCUUGGUGCUAUGGUUUGAAUGUGUCCCCUCCAAAACUCAGGUGUUGGCAAUGUGAUGUGAUAGUAUUAAUAGGUAGAGUCUUUAAGAGGUGAUUAGGCCACGAGGGUUCCUCCCUUGUGAAUGCGAUUAAGGCCCCUGUAAAAGCAACUUCACUCAUUGUUCAGUUGGUUUGCCCAUUCACCUCUGCCAUGUGAGGACAGUGUUCCUCCCCUCCAGAGGAUGUAGCAACAAGAUGCCAUCUUGAAAGCAGAAGAGUAGCCCAUACCAGACAACCAAACAGCCCAAGCCUUGAAGUUGAAAUUCCUGGAGCCCAGUGAAAAUAAAUAUCUAUUUUUUAUAAAUUACCUAGUCUCAGAUAUUUUGUUAGAGCAGCACAAAAUGGACUGCAACAACUGGGGACCCCAGACUUGUGGCUGGUGUAUAAAGUGAAGGCAUGCUUGUGGAGGACUGUGCCCUUUACCUAUGAAGUUUGGCCCAACUCUCCCAGGCAGGAGGAAUCAUGGCAUUUCAUGAAAUGGUUCGGUAUCAAUAUACUACAUAAAUAAGCACAGAUUUAUUACAGAGCAACACAAUUAAUUAAGAAAGUGCACACUAAAAUGGUAUGGUAUUAUUGGAAGUAGAAAUAUGCAAGAAUGAGAGAGAAUUAAAACCACAUAGGAAUUGAGGUAGGAUUUAUUGCUAGUUUGAUAACAUUGGUGCUAUGACAAUAGACUGUUCAAAUUCUUCCCUGCCACUUAUCCCCACAGGGUUCAUGAUGUAUCUCUAACAAUAAGGAGCAGUAGAAAAUGGGGAAUCAAAUAAUAAUCAACUGCUACCGUAAUGCAGAUCUGAGGUAAAUAAGAGGGUCAUUAGGUCAGCAACUAAAUAGCUGCCUAGAAAUAGGAUGAGAGGGGAGGAGGCAGGUCUUGUUUACUCUGUUUAGCAUGUGGAAAAAAGAAAGAAGAAAGUACAAUAGUAAAAGGAGAGCCUGGGCAAACUGAUGUGUGCCUAUAGUCCCAGCUACUUGGGAGGUUGAGGUGGGUGGAUUGCUUGAGCCCAGGAAUUGGGGUCCAGCCUGGUCAACAUAGUGAGACCCCGUCUCUUAAAAAAAGUAAAGGGAUACAAUUAGAUUCAAGAGAAGGGUUUACAUUUCAUCACUGAUGUGGGGGGAUUAUUUUUCUCUUUCCUAUUAAACUGAACAAAGGAAAAAAAUUCUCCCCUUUCUGCUGGCAGUUAUCUAGCAGAUAACAAUUUUAUGACAAGCAGUGAAGCAAAGCUGAGACAUGGAAAGAACCUGAAUCCUUGGUGACAUGAUUGAGUUGCUGACUCAACCAGUUAUGAAGCCCAUUCAUCUCUGGACUUCUUGUUAUGUGAAUUAAGAAACGUUUUUAUUGUUUGGAAUCAAAGUCAAGGAAUACAUAUCCUGUACCCAUGAAUUUUAAGUUAUUGUCAACCCAUUCAUUAGUAAUCAUAGCCAGUCUUUUUCUUGGUCCACUGAGUUAUGUUUUCCUCUAAAUAGAGUUCUCUUUUCCCUCUUUGGCAAGGUGGCAGGUCACAGCCAGACCUACUGUACUAAAAACUCAAGCAGACUCAAUGAUAUAAUAAGAGCUAGGAUAUGGAAGCAUAUAUGCUCUGGCACAGUACAGAUUUUCUUUUUCUUUUUUCUUUUCUUUUUUUUAUUUUUAUUUUUAUUUAUUUAUUUUUUUUUUUUGAGACAGAGUCUCACCUGUUGCCCAGGCUGGAGUGCAGUGGCGUGAUCUCAGCUCACUGCAACUUCCACCUCCCAGGAUCAAGCAAUUCUCCUGCCUCAGCCUCCCAAGUAGCUGGGAUUACAGGUGCCUGCCACCAUGCCCAGCAAUUUUUUUUGUAUUUUUAGUAAAGACGGGGUUUCGCCAUGUUGGCUAGGCUGGUCUCAAACUCCUGACCUCAGGUGAUCCACCCACCUUGGCCUCCCAAAGCACAGAUUUUCCCAUAUGAAAAUAAUGUGCCUCCUAACCAGCCCCAGUAGCAUAAAAGAUACCAACUGGUGGGUCCACGUCUACCAGCCUGGAAGAUUUUAUUUCAUUUGGAGCCACACUCAUCAAUAAACUUCAGGUGUACUGCCAUAAAAAAUAUUAGGAGGUACCAGAGAGGCAUCUACUAACUUGCAUGCUUCAUCUCAUAUAAUUUUGCUGGUUUGGUAAUUUACAAAGUGAAAGUCACUUUGGACUAAAUCCAAGUUGUCAUUCUUAUCAAUAUUUGAACUUGGAACAUGUGUUCUGUUUUAGCGCUUUGCUUUUUUACUAACGAAGUUAGUGGCUGUGGGUGUGGAGGAUGGCUGCAUGAUUCUCAAGGCAGGUAUUCUUUUUGUUCUGAUAUACUUCAAAAGACACAUGGCUUAUCUUUGUACCAUAUCCAACACUGUUUUAGUCUUCAGUUUUAGGAUUGGUUAUUUUCUACCUAAAGGAAUGGGACUGAGCACAGGGAUAGAAAUAAAAGAAAUAGGAAGCAGGGAUGAGCAGUAAGAGAUGUUCCAAUGGUAUACUUCUUUAUCAGAACUAUUCUAAUAUUUUGUUAAAUAUGCUAUACCAGGAUUCAAUCCACCUAACUGGGUGAUGUAAACUGUUCCUGGGUGGAGGAAAAAAGCUGAAGUCCACAAUUCAGUGACUAGUCCUAAAACCUUUACUUCCCUCACAGAGAAUCAGACCCAUAUUUACUUCUCCCUUUCCCCCAGAAGGUAUUUCUAUCGAUCCCAAUAUGAAGAUUGCAAAGGUAAGGACCCCCACUCAGUUUGCAUCUCUUGGAAUUUGGCUAUAUUACUGAGAUUUAUUAGGAUUUUUUUUUUUUUUUUACUUACUAGUAUGCUUUCUGAGAUGUUAUAAGAUCAGGCACUAUUUCUGUUGACUUUGCCAUUCUACCGAAGAUCUUUAUAUUUUCUUAUUAUUCUAACAUUUCAAUUGAGGAGGAUAGACUUAAAGACUAAUAACCAUGACAGUUUCAGCCUCUGAUAUUUCUAGAGGCAAAUAUUUCCUUAUUACUUUGUGAGAAAAACCUUUCGUUAAUGGGUGUCUUUAAUUACAAGAAACUUAUUCCCUGUAUUGCGUUAAUAGUUGCCUUCCCAAAACUUCCCUCUGGAACAAUGCAUAAUAAAUCUACUUCAUUUUCCAGAGGACUAGAUUUAAAUGUAUAAAGAGUUAUGUAUUCUUCUUUCUGGGCAUUAUGAACAUAUCUAGUAACUUUAUGUGUUCCUUUGAAUACUUCUAGGAUUUAAAAGUUUAUAGACAUCAUCUAGAUAACUUCAUAAUCACACAAGGAGGUAAGUGAGGCUCAAAACAGUUGAUGAGGGAAAGCUCUACUUUAAAUGCCAAUUAAUUAAUGUGGGAGAAAUGACAGAAUUAGGACAAUAGCAUUUCACAAAUUCUAUUUAACUUAUUGAUUCAGACAAGAUUUAUCAAGGUUAAAAUCCUUAGGUAAAUGGAUGUUGGGACACUGGACCUUCAUUUUGUGCCCAGCUGAUAUUACACAGAAUAAUUUCUAAUCACAAGAGAUAAAAUAAAAUUACACAAUAGCAGGUUCAGAUUGUCGUUACUCCAGAGAAUGUCAAUCUUAUCAAAUUAAUGGUAAAUGUACUAGAAAUUCUGUGUCUUCUGAUGUGAUAAAACAUGAAGUACACAAUAUCAUCUAUGAUAUUCUUUUCACAGUGUUUCACCUGAAUUCAUCAAGCCUUUAAAAUCACUUCCACAGGAGAUGAAGUAACAGGACACAAUUGAACAAAUUCUUAAAAGAUAGAAUAUUCCAGGGACCAACUGGCCUUUGGUUUUCAAAAUUCAUUUUUAAAAAAAGACUGUUAAAAGAUUAAACAACAGGCACACACACACACAAUUCGAAAGAUAUGCACUAAGGUGUUAACAAUGGCAAUCUCUGGAUGGUGGUAUGUGACAUUCUUUUUUUCUUUUGUCUAUAUUUUUUAUUUUUCUACAAUGCACAUGUAUUGUUUCUCUAAGUAUCAUUAAGAAAAUUAAUAGUCAACCUGGCAAAAUAGUUUGCCCAAUCUGUAUGAGAUGUUUUUCAGACUCCCACCAUAUUUGAUGUGUUCCCAUGGUUGAACUCUUGUUCGCUAUUGUCCUCCCUGAAUUGUGAAGCCUGCUAUUUGGCAGUAUGCCUCAGAUACAAUCUUACUUACCUGAGGUAAAAUUUCUGACCUGGCCAUUUUAAAGAUUCUUAAUAAUGUUCAAUUAUAAAGGCAAUUGAAGACUACACUGCCUUUUUGGAAGUUCAAUAACAUGGUUAGCUGUUUAGAAUAUAGUCUGUUGACUAUUUAGAAUCGAUGUUAAGAACAUAGGCUCUGGAGAUCUCAGGAAUAUUGCUGAAACUUAUUUAAACCUUAAUUUUCUUAUCUGCAAAGUGAAGAAAAUACCAGAACCUAUUUCAAAGGGUUGUUGUAAAGGUUAAAUGAGAUAACACAGCAAAAUACUUGAGUAUAAUGCUUAGCUCACAGUAUAUAAAAUAAAUUUGAGCAAUUAUAAUAAUUAUUAUCGUGUUCAUAUAAAAUAUCAGAAUAAACAUUGUAUCAUUUAUACUCCCUCCAAUACCUCAAAAUUAAUUUGACUAAAAGUGUUAUAUUUAGCCAGCUUCUUGGUGAAAUAUCUUUUAAUCAAAAGAAUAGGACUAAAUAAGUAAUUUUCUUAAUCUGGUAACUAUAGAUAGCACUGUAUCUGUUUUUUAAUUCCAUAACAAAUUCUUUAAGUAACUCAUUAACAUUAAAUCUUUCGAGUGUUUAGGACCUGUGCGGUCCCAAAAAGCACCCACUUAAGUGGAAUAACCCCAAGAACAUAGGAUAAAGUUUCUGGGAUUUUCAUAGUACAUUGACAUUCCUUGAGAAUACACAACAUUUAUUGAGGUACCUGAAUAACUGAAGGCCCCGAGGAGCUAAUCAGAACCACACAAUCUACUCUGUGUAGGGUGAAUAUAUUCACUACUAGCUAGUGGAAUCAUGGUCCUCAAAUGCAGGAGGUGAUAAUAUCAGAAUUUUAUGAGAACAUCCAUUAAACUGAACACAUAGACAGUUAUCUAUCUGAGAGGUAAAGUGAUGGAGAGUAAGUUUAAAAUAUUUGAUGUCCCUCCAAACCCCCCAGUAGCCCAAGAACUGAAAAAUAGAAGCUGAAUAACUUUAUGGACCUGCCUGCUUCUGCUGUGCCACUCUGCAGCAGAACUUUAAAGCAAAAAAUUUCUUGGAGUUUUACACUGGAUAUAUUAAUGAAAUCACUAUUUUUGUUGCAUAUUAAACAAGAUUCCUUCCACUGCAAGUACAGAAACUCAAGAAAUUUAAACAAUAAUGAAGUGUAUUGACUCAACACUGAGUCUAGAAGUAGAACAGACUUCAGAGUUGGCUUAGUCUGGCAAGCACUAGCUUUCUUUCCCAAAGCUGGUUCUUAGGCUCUGUUCUCCUCUGUUGGCUUCACAAAAUGGCAGUCCCAGCUUCACUGGUGCGUAACUUCUUCCAACAGCUCUCACUUAAAGGUAAAGAAACAUUUUCCAGAAACUCUCAACAAGUUUUCCUUGACGUCACUAGCCAGUACUGUGUCUUAUUCCUCAUUCCUGAACCAAUCAUUAGCAAAGGAAUAAGAUUACUCCUAAGACACAUAGCUUCUGGUAAGGGAGCCGUGGAUGUAUAAAUGAAAAUGGGGUGCUCUUGGGAAGAGGGAAAUAAAUAUUGGGUGGGUAAUCAACAAGGCGUCAUCAAAAAACUUUCUGGGGGUUGAAUGAAGCAGGAAAAUUUUUUUUUCAGAAUAGUUUUUCAUACAAUACUUGGCUUUUAAACAGUUGAGAAAUAAAAGAAUCCACAUCUUUUCUCAUUUGAUUUCCCCCUUGCUGAAAUUACAAUAAUUUUUUUUUUUUUGAGAUGGAGUCUCUGUCACCCAGGCUGGAGUUCAGUGGCACAAUCUCAGCUCACUGCAACCUCUGCCUCCUGGGUUCAAGCGAUUCUCCUGCCUCAGCCUCCCCAGUAGCUGGGAUUACAAGCACCCGCCAUCACGCCUGGCUAAUUUUUGUAUUUUUAGUACAGAUGGGGUUUCACCAUAUUGGCCAGGUUGGUCUCAAACUCCUGACCUCAGGUGAUCCGCCCACCUUGGCCUCCCAAAAUGCUGGGAUUACAGGCGUGAGCCACUGCACCCUGCCUACAGUAAUAAUUUUGAGUGAGAAUAACAAUAUUUUGUGUAUAGACUAUCUCCAGCCAGUUUGUAGAAUUCUCAAACGGCUCUGAACACUUUCAGGUUGUUUGGAGUUUGGAAAAACCUAAGUGGUGAUUUUCCCUGAAAUUUUAGGAUGUGAAAUUUUUUUAAAGUGGAAAUGCAAUCUGUAUAUAAUAACGUAGACUUCAAAAUGUUGUUAUGUAACAGGUAUUUGAUGUUUGACAAGUUUUUGACACUCUUUAAUGAGCCAGUUUACAUCUUUAAUCUUAUAAAUAAAUUUACCAAGUACAAAUCUGAGCAAUAAGUAUGGUAAGUUCGGCAUUUUAUCUUUAAAGGGGUGGAAUGGCAUCUAAAUUCAGAAAACCACUUAAUUUUCUUAAAGUGAAAACAUAUCCACACGCCUUAGUGAUUUCAGUCUCAGUCCUUUUUCUUUGACUUUCUUUUUUUUUUAAACCAAAUUAACCACCAUUUUUUUUCUAUUAUUAGGGAUUUCUAAGUUAUUGUUUAUGGAGAAAUGACUUGAGCUCAGGAGACCUGGAUACAAGUCUUAAACUAGUGAUGAGGUCUUAGGAAAGCCAUUUUGCCUCUCCAAAUUAUAGUUUUCUUUUCAGCUUGUUAGACUCAAUGAAUCAUUUAUUCAUUCAUUUAAUGAACAUCUACUGACUGCCUAUUGCGGUUUGGAGAAUUAAAAAAUAAUAAUAAUAACACUUUGUCCUUGCUUUCAAGGAGUUCAUAGUAAAGUGACACAGGUGGUACAUAGCACAAGGAACUUUUCUGAGUUAAGUACAGCGAUGGAGAUGUGAAUGGGGUCUUUUGGAAAUAUCUAGAAGGGAUACUUAAGUCAACUUCAGGUUGGAGAUGAAUGAAGGGAAAGUUUCCCUGGAGAUCAUGAUAUUUGAGCUGAGGAUGAAUAGGCAUUAGCUAGCUAAAGGCUGGUUGGGGAGGAGUUGAAAAAAUUCACAAAGGGAAGAUAGUAUGAACAAAGGUAUGAAGACACAGCCUGGUAUAAAGGGAUAUUGUAAACAAUUCAUGUUAUUGGAGAAAAAAUUGUGAAGCAGAGAGUAGGAAAGAAGAAUGUUGGAGAGGUGUGCAGGAACCAGAAGGCUUUGUGAGACUUUUUUCCCGGUAGGUGAUAAUUCAAUAAAAGAUGUUAUUUAAGGGUCAGAGGGAAACACAUCAAGUUUUCCUGAUAUCUCAUUCUAGCCUUCUUUAAUUUGAUUUAAUUUAUCUUUAACAUUUAAAACAGUAUGAAGGAAGUGGUCUAUAAGGUUUAUCCUAUAAUAUUCUAGCUUCCCAACCUCACUACCAUGAAAUCAUUUUUAGUAUGGUGCUAGGAUAUUUAUUGAAUAUGAGCUUUUUUUUCCCUUUACUUAACUGAAUGAAAAAGAGCUGUGAAGCUUUUUUUGUUUCCAGGAAACACAAUUGUUUUGAAUUAGUAGAGUGUUUGUCGAAGGAGUUCAGCAAAGCCCCACUAUUACCCUGGAGUAUGUAACUCUCAGUAUAGUUUUCUUUCUAUUUUCAUAAGGUUAACUGUUUCUCCAUAUAAAACAAGCUUAAUAACUAGCAGGGUGAUCCUUUGCCUUUGCAUCCUCUGUUACAUAUAAAACUUUUGAUAUUAAAAAUGAUUUUUCUCCUCCAUCAUUUCCUUCUCCUCCUUCCCUUCCUCCCCCUCCUCCUUCUUUCACUUAUAAAAGUCUCCUCUUAAGAUAAAAAUUCUAGAAAUGAGAUUCAUUAAGCUAUUAUCAGAUAAUGGGAGCAUAAGUUUUCUGACCAUUAGAUGCCCAUUGAAAAGGGAAAUAUGCUUACAGUCCAAGGUCAAGUGACCAGAGGUGGCGAAGGGCCUGUAUGUCUGAGAAGAAAGGGCCAAAUAUACACUCUGCCUCUUCACUGGAGAGAGCCACUUUCAACCAACAUGGUUUUUUUCUGGUAAAGCAAGCCAAUGUUAAGAACUACAUAAUGCUUAACAAAAUAAUUGAAGGGUCUAUUAUUCAAAAGGGGAAAGACUAAAGUCACUAAAUAGAAGAACAUUUCCUCAAUAUGACUGUAGGCAAUAUUCUCUUAGAAAAUAAUGAAAUGUUUGUCUUGGUGAUAUGGUUACCUUUCUUAAGUGAAUAGGAGAAGUAUUUUGCAUCUCUCUGUGAUGGGGAAACUGACCUGAAAUUGGAGCAUUCAUAGUCAUCUUCAUCCUUGAUUAUGGGAUGAGUGUCCACAUCCCAACUCUUUCUCUUUUUCUUGAAUGGACAGAUAAGAGAUUCCGUAAGUCCUGGCAAAGAGGGGAACACAUCUCUCUCAGAACUUCCCAGGAGGGAAGGUGGAGUCACUGAGGAACUUGAAGGUUUGAUUAUGGAGGUUUGAACAAAGAGAGAGAAGGGUGAGGGCUGUUUAUAAGGUAGUGAGGGAGAAAGCAUAAGUUAGGAGCAUCUUUCUCAUGAGGCUUAAGUCCGGAAGUGCUUUCCCAGGUGCUGUAUAAAUGAAUGGUGAAGUCAAAGAGAAUUACUGUAACUUCUAUUCCUCCUCAUACCCUACAAGGCUGUCUUUGUGGAUGUGCAACCUACAUAGUUGCACAGAACACAUUAUCAGAAAGGUCCUGCACUUGGUUUAAUAUUCUACUCUUACUGUCUUGAAAUUGUUACUUUUUUCUUUGAAUUUAUAUUUUUUAAAUGAAGUGCAAUAAGAUGAUGGAGCCUGAACACAGGAUAUGGCAAUAAGCAUGUGUGCUGCCAUUUUUGCCACCCCACUCCCACAUAAUGUUCAGUAUGCCCCAUAAGCACAGAAUUUCUCUGGACCCAUGAUGGGUGGGAAUGCAGUGAGACUCAAAGCAAGUACAAGGUGAGUUUGUUACAUCUAUGUCUGACUAAGCAGAAACUGACAGCUGCAAGAGGCCAGUGUUUGAACUAGAACGUGCUUUGAAUGCAGAAAUAAGGCAAUGGUGAAGAGACAACCUAUGUAAUAGGAAAAAGUAUUUGCAAACCAUACAAUUGAUAAGGGAUUAAUAUCAAAAAUAUAUAAGGGACUCAAGAAUGCAAACAAUUCAAUAGCAAGAAAACAAAUAACCCAAUUUAAAAAUGGGCAAAGGAUCUGAAUAAACAUUUAAAAAAACCAUACAUAUGGCAAACAGGUAUAUGCAAAAAAGCUCAAUGUCAUUAAUCAUCAGAGAAAUGCAAAUUAAAAUCGCAGAGAUAUCCCCUCACACCUAUCAGAACAGCUACUAUCAGAAAGAUGAAAGACAAGUGUUGAUAAGGAUGUGCAGAAUAGGGAACCUUUGUACACUGUUCGGGGGAAUGUAAAUUAGUGCAGCCAUUAUGGAAAACAGUUUGGAAGUCUCUCAAAAAAUUAUAAAUAGAAUUACCUAAACCCACUACUGGAUAUAUAUCCAAAAAAUUGAAAUCAGUACAUUAAAGAGAUGUCUGCAUGCCCAUGUGCAUUGCACCUUUAUUCACAAUAGCCAAUAUGUGGAAUCAACCUAAGUGUCCAUCAACAGAUAAAUGGAUAAAGAAAACCUGGUAUAUAUACACAAUGGAAUACUAUUCAGCCUUUAAAAAGAAGGAAAUCCUGCCAUUUGUGACAAUAUGGAUGAAUCUGAAGGACAUUAUGUUAAGUAAAAUAAGCCAGGCACAGAAAGACCAAUACUGCAUGAUCUCACUUACAUGUGGAAUACAAAAAAGUCAAACUCAUCGAAGCACGGAGUAGAAAGGUGGUUACCAGGUGCUGGAAGUGUGAGGGAUGGUGCGAGAUGUUGGUUAAAGAAUAUUCGCAUUUCAGUUAGACAGGAGGAAUACGUUCAAUAGAUCUAUUGUACAACAUGGUGACUAUAGUUAAUAACGACGUAUUGUAUAUUUCAAAAUUGCUAAUAGAGCAGAUUUUAAGUGUUCUCACCACUAAUAGUAACUAUUUUAUAUGUUUGUUGGCUGCAUAAAUGUCUUCUUUUGAGAAGUGUCUGUUCAUAUCCUUUGCCCACUUUUUGAUGGGGCUGUUUUUUUCUUGUAAAUUUGUUGAAGUUCCUCAUAGAUUCUGGAUAUUAGCCCUUUGUCAGAUGGAUAGAUUGCAAAAAUUCUCUCACAUUCUGUAGGUUGCCUGUUCACUCUGAUGAACCUUUCUUUUGCUUUGCAGAAGUUCUUUAGUUUAAUUAGAUCCCAUUUGUCAAUUUUGGCUUUUUUUGCAAUUGCUAUUUGUGUUUUAGUCAUGAAGUCGUUGCCCUUGCCUAUGUCCUGAAUGGUAUUGCCUAUGUUUUCUUCUAGUGUUUUUAUGGUUUUAGGUUUUACAUUGAAGUCGUUAAUCCAUCUUGAGUUAAUUUUUGUAUAAGGUAUAAGGAAGGGGUCCAGUUUUAGUUUCCUGCAUAUGGCUACCCAGUUUCCCAGCACCAUUUAUUAAAUAGGGAAUCCUUUCCACAUUGCUUGUUUUUGUCAGGUUUAUCAAAGAUCAGAUAGUUGUAGAUGUGUGGUGUUAUUUCUGAGGUCUCCAUUCUGUUCCAUUGGUGUAUAUAUCUGUUUUGGUACCAGUACCAUGCUGUUUUGGUUACUGUAGCCUUGUGGUAUAGUUUGAAGUCAGGUAGCAUAAUGACUCCAGUUUCGUUGUUUUUGCUUAUGAUUGUCUAGGCUAUCUGGGCUCUUUUUUGGUUCCAUAUGAAAUUUAAAGUAGUUUUUCUAAUUCUGCAAAGAAAGUCAGUGGGAGCUUCAUGGGCAUAGCAUUUAAUAUAGACGUUACUUUGGGCGGUAUGGCCAUUUUCACAACAUUGAUUUUUCCUAUCCAUGAGGAUGGAAUGUUUUUCCAUUUGUUUGUGUCCUUUCUUAUUUCCUUGAGCAGUGGUUUGUAGUUCUCCUUGAAGAAGUCCUCAUCACUGGUCAUUAGAGAAAUGCAAAUCAAAACCAGAGUGAGACACCAUCUCAUGCCAGUUAGAAUGGUGACUAUUAAAAAGUCUGGAAACAAGAGAUGCUGGUGAGGCUACCAAGAAAUAGGAAUGCUUUUACACUUUUGGUGGUAGUGUAAAUUAGUUCAACCAUUAUGGAAGACAGUGUGGUGAUUCUUCAAGGAUUAGAACCAGAAAUGCCAUUUGACCCAGCAAUCCCAUUACUGGAUCUAUACUCAAAGGAUUAUAAAUUAUUCUACUAUAAAGACACAUGCACACUUAUGUUUAUUGCAGUACUAUUUACAAUAGCCAAGACUUGGAACCAACCCAAAUGCCCAUCAGUGAUAGACUGGAUAAAGAAAAUGUGGCACAUAUACACCAUGGAAUUCUAUGCAGCCAUAAAAAAGAAUGAGUUCAUGUCCUUUGCAGGGACAUGGAUGAAGCUGGAAGCCAUCAUUCUCAGCAAACUGCAAACUAACACAGGAACAGAAAACCAAACACUGCAUGUUCUCACUUAUAAGUGGGAGUUGAAUAAUGAGUACACAUGGACACAGGGAGGGGAACAUCACUCACCAGGGCCUGUCAGGGGGUGUGGGACAAGGGGAGGGAGAGCAUUAGGACAAAUACCUAAUGCAUGUGGGGCUUAAAACCUAGAUGAUGGGUUGAUGGGUGCAGUAAACCACCAUAGCAUAUGUAUACCUAUGUAACAAACCUGCAUGUUCUGCACACGUACCCCAGAACUUAAAGUAAAAUUAAAAAAAUAAAUAAAUAAAAAUAGGCUGGGCACAGUGGCUCACACUUGUAAUCCCAGGACUUUGGGAGGCCAAGGUGGGCGGAUCACGAGGUCAGGAGAUCAAGACCAUCCUGGCCAACAUGGUGAAACCCUGUCUGUACUAAAAAAUACAAAAAUUAGCUGGGCGUGGUGGCACACGCCUGUAGUCCCAGCUACUCGAGAGGCUGAGGCAGGAGAAUCACUUGAAACUGGGAAGCAGAAGUUGUAGUGAGCAAAAAUCGUGCCACUGCACUCCAGCCUGGCGACAGAGCGAGACUCCAUCUCAAAAAAAUAAACAAAUAAAUAAAUAAAAAUAAAAAAUAAAAAAUUAAACUAAAUUAAAUAAAAAGAAAAUAAAUAAAUAGUAACUAUUUUAGGUAAUACAUUUGUUAAUUAACUUGAUUUAGUCAUUCCACAAUGUAUACACAUUUCAAAACAUGAUGUUGCACACUACAAAUAUAUACAAUUUGUCAAUAAAAUAAAAUAAAUGAAUAAAAGAAAAAUGAUAAUCAGAAAAAAAUAAUUUUUUUAAAAGAUGGCAAUGGUGUUAAGAAACAUGAACUCAGGUACACUUUCAUACCCUUUCUUACUCAUGUUAUUUCCCUAUACUAGCUAACAGCUUACACUAAAACAAUGAUAAUAAGUCCUUCCUUACUCAUCAGCAACUUUAAGGUAGGGAGUGUUGAUAGAAUGUGUGCAGAUCAAGAAGUAAAAUAAAAACAGUUGAGUUAGUUUUAUGUAGUUAUUCUGCCAUUCUGGCAAGAACAAUAUACAUAUGUAGGUAUGAGCUAUGAAAUAUGAAUUAUGGAAUUUCAAUGAUUCCACAUGCAAGGUGAAUGAUCUUAUAUUUGCAUUUAAAACUGCCAUUGCACAAUAUAAAGAUGAAUGGUAAAAUUCAUGCUAAAAAUUUUAAACUCUAAUUUUUUUUUACUUAGAACAACAUUAAAUAGCAAAUGAAAGCGCACCAUGACAAUUUGAGAGAGUCACUACCAAAGAAAGAAAAGAAGCUUUAUGUUUUAAUAGCAUUAAUGUCACCCUUUUCCUGCUUUUUGAGCAAGGGGCCCCAUAUUUUCUUUUUUUAUGGGUUAACUAAUAUUAUUAUUAUUACUUUUUUAGAUUAUACUUUAAUGGGUUAACUAAUAUUAUUAUUAUUACUUUUUUAGAUUAUACUUUAAGUUCUGGGGUACAUGUGCAGAACGUGCUGGUUUGUUACAUAAGUAUACACGUGCCAUGGUGGUUUGCUGCACCCAUCGACCCGUCAUCUACAUUGGGUAUUUCUCCUAAUGCAAGGGGCCCCAUAUUUUCAUUUUGCAUUGGACUCCGCAAAUUAUGUAGCCCUCCCAAAAUAUGCCCUACCUCUUGAAACCUACCUGAAUGUUCAAUAGUAAUUGUCUUAUCUUUAUGUCUUAACAGAACAUGUUUGGUAUAGUGGGGUCUUUCUUUCCAGCUUGGCUCACCUCACCCAUCCCAAUCAUCAGAAAUAGGCCAGGGAAUAAAUAAGAAUAAAAUCAUGUUCUUCACAGCUACAUGGAUAGAACUGGAGGCCAUUAUUCUGAGUAACUCUGAAACAGAAAGAUGAAAUACUGCAUGUUCUCACUUACAAGUGGGAUCUAAACAAUGAGUACACAUGGACAGAAAGAUGGAAAUAAUAGGCAUUGGGGACUCUAAAAGGAGAUAGGGUAAGAAGAAGAUGAGGGUUGAAAAAUUACCUAUUGGGUACAGUGUUAACUAUUUGGGUGAUGAGUCCACUAGAAGCCCAAACCUCACCAUUACACAAUAUAUCCUUGUACCAAAUCUGCUCAUAUAUCCCCUGAAAACAAAAUAAAAUAAAAUAAAAUAACAACAAAAGAAAUAGGGCAGGCAGAACAUUGCACUUCAACCCCAAUUUAUAGACAUUAUUAAGUUAAGCUUCCUCUCACAUUAAUAAAACUACAGGAAGUCCAUUUGACUUGAGAGACAAGAAAUUGAAUUUCUUUAUGGCCUCUGUAAAUAAGUCUAGCACCGUGCCUGAAACAAUAUAGUAGGUAAUCAAUGAAAGUUGCUCAACUGGUUCAUAAAUUGUGAUCAUCUACAUGUAUACGAUUUCCUAAUUCUUCUAAUAUGUACUAAUUUUGAUUGGCAAACCAGGAGCAGAUAACAAAAUAUAAUUAAUAUGUGACAAUUUUUUUUUAGAAAAACAAAAGAGAAGGCCCAACCCACUAUUCUUUACACUUGUGAUUAACUGUCACCAUUAUACAGGGGCCUACAUAUUUAUCUCUAGAUUUCACUAAAAGCAAUCAAAGACCUGUCUGUAAUGAAUUCAUACUCCUAACAUCUUGCCUCCAAAUUUGAGAAAUACUAUCUCUAUUAAUUUAACAUUAGUUCAAUGGCAAGUGACAGAAUUUCCCUCAUCCCCACCUAUGAAAUAGUGGCUUCAGCAAAUUAGAUGCUCUUUUCUUUCUGAUUUAUAAGUCUGGGAGUAAGUGAUUCAGGGCUAUGUUCUCAACAGUGUGAGUGACCUAGGUGUCUUCUAUUUUGUUGUUCUGCUACGUAUAACCUCUAUCCCCAAGGUUGCCUUGAGAUCCAAGAUGUCCUUGGCUAUCCAGCCUGUCUGCAGAAAAGCAGGAAUAAAAUGAGACGAAAAGGCAUGCUCCCUUCUUUUAAGAAACUUUGAGAAAUUGCACACAACACUUCAACUUACAUGGCAUUAGCUGGAGUUCAGACACAUAGCCAGACUAGGUGCAAAAGAGACUAGUAAAUAUAAUCUUAUGUUCCCAGCUUAAAAUGUAGGGUUCUGGUAUAGAGGAAAAUCAGGAGCAUGGGAGUCGUGGGAAACCAUGUUGUAUUUUCAAGUCAUCUAUAACCCUACCUUCCUGCAAUGACCUCUCACCUCAGGAAAUUCCACUAGCAACGUGCCUGAAACAUAAUAUAGUAGUUAACCAAUGAAAGUUGCUCAAUUGGUUCAUCAAUUGCGAUCAUUUACAUUUAUUCAAUUUCCUAAUUCUUCUAAUAUGUACUAAUUUUGAUUGGUAACCCAGGAGCAGAUAACAAAAUAUAAUUAAUAUGUGAUUUUUAAAUUUUAUUUAUUUAUUUAUUUUUUAGAGAUGGAGUCUUGCUCUGUCGGCCAGGCUGGAGUGCAGUGGGGCAAUCUUGGCUCACUGCAACCUCUGCCUCCCAGGUUCUAUCAAUUUUCCUGCCUCAGCCUCCUGAGUAGCUGGGACUACAAGCGCACGCUGCCACGCCCGACUAAUUUUUUGUAUUUUAGUAGAGACGGGGUUUCACCGUGUUGCCCAGGCUGGUCUUGAACUCCUGAGCUCAGGCAAUUCGCCUGCCUUGGCAUCCCAAAGUGCUGGGAUUACAGGCGUGAGCCACUGCACCAGCCCAAAAUAUUUUUUAAAAUAAUCACAGUCUAUGCUAUCUGUCUUAGAAACUAAAUUUAUUUUCUAAUGUCAGAUGAUGUGCUUAAAGUAUAUUCUCUCUUAAAAUGAUAGACACACUUGAGUGUACAUAAUCUUUUGAGGUGCUUUUUAGAAGACUGAUUUCUAAAUUAUAUCCACAAAGAUUUGAAUUCAGAAAGUCUAGGGUUGGGCUCAGGAAUCUGAGAGACAGAGAGAGUUGAGGGAAACUGAGAAGCCAACCAAGGCUGACUUCCAAGUCUCUUGACUGUUAGAGACUAUAGGAAAAGGAAAAGGAACAUACCUCGGUGAAUACAAUUGGGAACUUAUUCCAUUUGAAGUGCCUAAGGAAUAUCUGAGUGGCAAUCAGCUAUGUGGGCCUAUGGUUCUAAUACUCAACACACAGAGAGAGAGAGUAUGGAUGGCUGCUGCCUGUUAAUCUUAGGACCAUCUCACAUCAGGAUGUUCCAGUAAAAACCUUUCUGAUAAAGUGUGUCUAAUAAUGAAUCAAUACAAAUGUGAAAAUGAUCUUUUAUUUUGGUCUUGUGGCUUAAUUCCAAAUAAUUUGCUUCAUGCUCCAUCUUCACAAAAGGGUUUAGUCUAAAUACUUGGAGAAUUAUUCGUAACAGCUCUAGUUUCAGGCUCCUCUGUUUGGCACUGGUUGGUGGUCCAGUUCCUUCCAUCUGACCAAGAUGUUACAGCCUACUCCAAAAACUAUGCCAGGGAGUGUUCUGAGACAUAAUUCCUAUUCUGAGAUUGAGAUGGGCCUGUUUGGAUGGGGUGCUAAAAUGAAAGAAAUCCCAAAUGCACAGCAAAUCCAUUUUUCCUGUACCCUAGUUAUUGCAUUUACAAAAACACUUGAUUUUGCAGUUUUAAAGAGUGGAAGGUUUUUAAAGCAACAGUAAAAUCUAGAAGUCUCUUUAAGGAAAGGCCAAAUAUAUUAGAGUGGGAAACAGUGUGCCAUGCCUGUGAAGCUUGCAAUUAUACUUGGCUUUGCCUGGUGUUGAAAGUGACCAAAACUAAUCAGGUCCAGAAGAGCAUUCAGUAAAGCUGCUUUUCUGACUCUCUGCCUCUGCCCUUCCUGCUUCUGCUGCUGAGCAGAUUGCAAGAGACUGGUGCCAACUCUACAUUGCUUAAUAAUAAUUCUCAUUAGCAUGCUGCCUUGGAUGUGUACUGCAGAGCAAAAUUUAGCUUCUCCUUGGUGUGAAUCAAGAGAAGAUCAUGAAAUUCUCAGAAUGUGCAAAAGGUUUGAAGAUCUUAGUAUAGGGAACACCUUCGGAUGUGCUUAGGAAUCUCUUUUUUCUCUCCAACCAGGGUAGGAUAGACAGAGAGGAAUUUUAAUACCAAAUGGAGAACUUUGCGUUCUUUCUGCUUCUCCACAUGCAGCCCCUGAGAUUUCAAUUGUCUGUGCCUUAUUGAACACUCUGAUACAUUCCAAAUGUCCAUGGCCUGUCCAAGCUCAGGGCCCCUGUGGAGUGAAUGCUAUUAGCUUUGCUCUGUGCAUUUGACCACAGGGCAGCAGGCCGCAUGUACCUGCAGCUCCAUGACUGUCCUGAGGUCGUUCACAUUAGCUUUUGUUAUGAAAGUGAACGAGAUGCUGUUUACUCUCCUGCAGAUGCCAGGGUGACUGGAUGGCACUCUGAGGAGACACGCACAACCUUGUACAUUCACAGCCUAUUUAGCAGGGGCCGUAUUUCCCACAACGGCUUUCACAUGCCAUCUGCUGUCACAUGAUCCCACGUGCCAGGUCCUUAUAAGAAAUGUAUUCGAUCACCCAGUUUCUCACUACUCCUUUAGAAAUGGCAAAUUGAACUACUUACUAGUAGGUUUCACACUAAAGGAAUUAUGUGCAUAUCAAAUGUAGUGAAUUAAAAGGGUAUUUUUAUUGUCAUUGCUGGCUGCAAAAUGGCAAUCACACACCCUCAUGAAAAAUUUGGAGAAGAUAUCAGAGUUAGUGGUUAACAGGAAAGAUACUUAAAUUUUUCGUGAAUUUACUUCCCAACAGAAUAACUACAAAACAAAAUUUGAAGAGGAGUCCAAGGCAUUUUCUGGUUCCAUACUUUUUUCAUUCUCCUGUUGGAUACCAUUUCUCCUGUCUGAUCCAAUGCUGAGCUCAGUGGUAAUGAAGUGCCACAUUGUGAAAGGGUAAGAGAACUGGUACAAAGCGUACCAGGGAACAAAUGAAUUAGUACACCUGUCACGUCUCACUCUUGAAGGAUGGCACCUUCUUUGUUAAUUGAAAAGAAAUGUAAAAUGGGAGAAAUAGCAAAAAAAAAAAAAAAAUAUAUAUAUAUAUAUAUAUAUAUAUAUAUAUAUAUAUUUCUGGCUCUUCUUUCUUUCUUCUCCUUCAUGGCCUAUGACAGCAUACUGUAAUGUCUCCAAGUCUUGCAUUUUCAUAUAUUAUUCUGAUACUGUCUGCAGGGAGCCUAGAACGGGGCUGCCAGAGAGACAGUCUGUAAUUGAAAGUUCUUUCAAGAGAAGGACUUCUAUCAGGUCUGCUGAGGGAAUAGGAGCUCCACCUGCUGACUUUUUUAUGUUUGCUGACUCUGAAAGAAUGCAAAACAUGAAGAAAUUGAAUGGUGUUAUUUCUUUUGUAAUUUCUCAGUGGAAAUAUUGUUUUCAAAAUUAUUGAUAAGAUGUACCAGUCUAACCAGGGCUUUCAAGAAGAAAAUGCAAUCUAUAGCUUGUUUUAAGAGUGGGGAUUAUGUUGGCUUCCCUGGGCCAGUCUAAAUAAUUACUUUAAUCUGGAACAACAUAUAAAUUCAUAAAUUGUUGCCACCACGACUCUUAGGGAAUCCUCGACUUUUCAAACAUUGCCUCUCUCAGCCAUAAAUUUACACUGCGCCACUCGCCCAUGUGUGUUUUGUUUUAAGAAGCUGUAGUCUCUUGUUACAUGUAGUUUGGAAGAAAUGCUAGAUGUUUUUGAUCUAAAGAAGAAAGAUCAAGUCCUAGUCAAACUUUAGUAUUUUAAAGGGCAUAGACAUUAUUUGAGUAUAUGUCGUCUGCGUUUCAGAAAGAAGCUAUGCAGUUUUGUAUAAAAGCCACAUAAAACCAUAAACUUGUCAUUUGUCUUUUCCUUGAUGGAAAUUGCCACGAGGAAGCGUGGAAUGCAUUAUCAACAUGCUUGAUUGAUUAACUCCUGGGCCAAUGGGAUCAUGAGGGCAGGUACACCUCCUCGCUCCUUACAACCUCAGUAUUGUGGGUUUCAUUUCUUAUCUAGAUUUUGUUUACUGACAAAUAAUAAGCUACAUGACUGGCUGGAUUCUACUGAAAAAAAAAAAAGGAACCUUUAUUUAUGGCUUGGGUUUUAGGCUUAGAAAGACACUUUCGCAUUAUUUUGUAUAUUAGCAUUGUAAGUCCUUUUCUGUAUUAAUGUAAACCACUGGAAGUGGAUACAGAAAUCUCCUCUCAGGCCCUGUAACAGAAUUGACUGUACCCAGAUAAUUCUUGUGGAGGGAUUUGUUAGCUAGUUAGCCAGCUAGCUUUUUUGGUAGUCCUAAUAAGCUUCCCCCAGAUCUUUCUUCUGGUGAUACACUAUGUACUCCAGGAGCUGCCGCCUACUCAUUCUUCAGGAGAGGUCACAUGACCCAGAACUGUACCCAUACUCUUGGUCCAAUCAGAGUUUCUCCCUGGGAUCCAUAUAUGCACAGUGAGAAACAGAUGCCAUCUCCUUCCUCAAAUGUUGUUGAACCUCGGCUGCUUGUGGUCAUGUUCUCUGCCACGUGGUGAUAACCUGGCUGGAGUAGGAGAAACAGGCUAGUGCUAAAAGCAAAGUGAAAGGCUGACAGAGAUGAGAGCUGCAGCAGGAGAGAAAAAGCCACGGCAGUGUUGACUGUCUUAUUCCAGAGCCCAAGGCCUUGCUUCUUACAGCCCCUCCUUUGUUUCUGUGGGUUACCCUCAUUGUCUCCCCAUUUCUGGAUUACACAAGUCUGUGAUGGAUUUCUGCUAUUCACAACCAAAAGAGGCCUUACUAUCAUUGCCUCGUAAAACAGAAAUGAGAGUGAUGCAAUCAACAAUUAAAUACUUACAGGUAAGGGAAGAGGCCUCAUUUUCUUUAUUGAGACUAGAAUUAUAAAGGAUAGAGAAACAGAAACAGAAAAAAAUUCUCUAGAGUAUUAGAUUACAACAAUAACUAGCAUUUGUGUAGUGCUCUACAGUUUUUAAAGUACUUCCAUAAUCAUUUCUUUCAUUUGACCCUCACAAUAAUUCUGCAAAAUGGAGAAUACAGUGUAUAAUUAUCCACAUGUUGCCAACAUAGCAGAAUGGUGAAUGGAAGUGUUUCCUGUGGUUCUGGAAUUAUAGUGAAGGCUCAUGGAUGAAGACAAAGGAUUCUGCAUUUUGUGUUUUAUAUUUUGAGUCCAAGGGACCCCCAAUUUGGGGGCCUAGCCACUUUCUCUACAGUUUUACUGGGAAGGGCCAGUUCAGAGAAUCCACAAAAUAAACUCCAAACCCAAAGGGAGUCAAGAAAAUCUCAUGUGAAUAUUGGGGCAUCUACAAGAAGUGGAAGCUGGCAUAUCGUUCCCCAGCUAGACAUCAGUUUCACCAGCAGACCUGCCUUCUUGACUCUAAACAGUCAGAGUACAGGAAAGGAAGAUGGAGAGAGAGAACAUGGAGUGGGAAACUAAUGCUCAGAGAGGUUACUUUUUCAAGGCCACAAAUAGAGUUAGCAGCUGAUCUGAGGUUUGAAAAUAACCACUGAUGCUCACACAGCAUGUGUCAGAUCCAUGGGGUAGGAGUCGGCCAGAGACUUGGUAACAGACAGAUUGCUGGAUCCCACCCCUAGACUCUCUGAUUCAGUUAGUUUGGGGUAAGGCGCAAGACUGAAUUUUUCACAAGUUUCCAAGUGGUGCUGAUACUUCUGGUCCAGGAACUUAGUGGGAGAGAACGACUAAUCUAGACCAUUUCACUUCACAUUCUGAGCUUCUUGUACACUGUCACACUGCAUCCUUUUAACAAUGCAUUCCCUAUCCUAUUGCAAUACUGACAUCUCAUCAAUAUUUUAAAACAUGCGUUUUCAGAAACAAUAUUUUAUAUCAAAUACUCACUUUUAGUAAUAUUUCUGCAAUUUUGCCCUAUGGAUCUGAGAUCUAACAAAUACUAUUCUGGACAUGGGCUACAACAGUUGAGGCUGGAAGUAAAAAUGUUAAACCCUGCUGACCACGUUAUUUUAAAGUGUAUUUUAGUUAAGAAUAAUAUGGCUUAGGAGCAGGGCUAAACAGUAGCAGUACACAUGGGGAAUGAUAACUUUGCUUUUGCACAUAAAAUGUACCUGAAGGGAAAAAAUAAAGCAGAAAAUAAACAAGAUGAACUGAAAAUACUGUAACAAAUGUUGGGCUGAAAUACUGCCAGGCGUGGAGGUGUAGGAAAAUGAACACACAUUUUGGUGGCAAGGCACAAAACUGUUUAAAUCCUUUUGCAGAAGUUUCUGAAAACUGUAAUUUUGGCAUGGAUCCAUGAGCAGAGUUAUUGGGCUUAUAAUGUAGGCAAACCAACAAUAUCUGUAAGAAUUGCCUUGUCCAGCCUUGGAUGUUGCAUAACUCCUGUAAAAUAUCACCUUCACAUAUGCCAAAGAAUGGAACAGUGAAAUAAAUUCAGAAAUUUUCUCUAUACAAUAAAGAGAUACCAGAAGGUGUGAAUUCUCAAUAAAUGAUAGCUUGCUUAUGCUCUCUUAACAAAGUAAUAUUCCUACAAAGAACUAAGAUUGAUGUAUUUGGGUAUGUAUAUUAUUUUUCAUUAAAAUAUUUUAUUAAGUUUAGUUUACUAUAAAAUCUAAAACUGAUAACUUCUGGUCAGUGUUGAUGACAGAGUAGGUUUGGGGUGUGAGAAGCUAAGGUGCACAUGUGUGGUAGUGACAAACCAUUUUAAGAGAAUGACAUCCGAAAUCUGAAACUUAUUACUUAAAGGGCAGGGGUGCAGCAGGGGCCCCAAAUACAGUUGUUCUGCAAAGAAAUAAAUGAAGUGAUUGCUACCCUGGAGAAUGUUCAUAUCAGCUUCACACUUCUGAUGAUAGUACUGACGGACGAUCAGGGUGAGGGAGGGAUGAGGCCUGUGCUCUCCCCAACAUGUACUUCAUGCCCCCUACCUGAAAUGGUUUGGCUCUGUGAACCCACCCAAUUCUCAUUUCCUGUCAAGGGAGGGAACAGGUGGGAGGUGACUGGAUCGUGGGGGCAGUUUCCCCCAUGCUGUUCUCAUGAUAGUGAGGGAAUUCUCAUGAGACCUGAUGGUUUUAAAGUGGCAGUUUCCCCUGCCCACUCGUCUUCUGCCACCUUGUGAUAAAGGCUUUGCCUUCCACAAUGAUUGUAAGUUUCCUGAAGCCUCCCAGCCAUGCAGAACUGUAAGUCAGUUAAACCUCUUUCCUUUCUAAAUUACCCGGUCUCAGGCAGUUCUUUAUAGCACUGUGAAAAUGGACUGAUACACUACCUUUCUGACUGUAGGGCCAAGACCCAGCUUUACACAGAAGUUGAGAAGAAAGCCCCCUAACCCAGUGACAGAACUUUUUGUCUGUAAACCCUAUCUGCAAAGUGGAUUUUAUAAGGUAGGAUUUCUACAUAUUGAGUCAUUUUUGGGGAGAAAAAUAGAAAAAGAAAUAUAAGAUUAUAGGAAAAGAACAUGAAGAAAGAAAGUAUGUGAAAGUUGUGUACUGGUGAGGGAGUUUAAGUAAUGCCUUUGAUUCUCCAAAGUUUUCUCCUUUAUCUGUGCCUAAGAUGGAAUAUAUAUAUAUUUCUUACUAACUUCUAAUCAUCUCUAUAGUGCCAAGAAAUAGGUGUUAUCACAAUCUGAUAGAUAAGAAAUUUUAAGGGUAGGGGCUCGCACACAAUUAAUUAAUGAACGAGCUUGGAUUUAGAACCAGCUCUCUCAGAUUCCAGAGCAACUGAUGUUUCUACUGUACCAUGUUGCUUUUAUGUAUGGGGGAAUUUUUUUCUUUUAUUGAUACAUAAUAUUUUACAUAUUUGUGGGGCACAUGUGAGUAUUUCUUACAUGCAUAAAUUGUGUAAUGAUCAAGUCAGGGUAUUUGGAGUAUCCACCACCUUGAGUAUUUAUCAUUUCUAUGUGUUGGUAUCAUUUCAAGUCCUCUCUUCUUAGUUACUUUGAAACACACAAAAUAGUGUUGCUAAGUACAGUCACCCUAGUUGGCUAUCAGACACUAGAACUUUUUUCUUCUAGCUAACUAUAUGUUUGUACCCAUUAAUCAACCUCUCUUUAUUCCCCCUCUCAUCCACCCACUCUUCCCAGUCUCUGGUAUCUGUCAUUCUAUUCUCUGUGUCCAUGAAAUAAAAAUUUUUAACUUUCACAUAUGAGUGAGAAUGUGAGGCAUUUGUCUUCCUGUGCCUUAGCUAUUUCACUUAACAUAAUGACCUCCAGUUCUAUUCAUGUUGGUGCAAAUGACAUGAUUUUAUUCUUUUUAAUGGCCAAAUAGUAUUCCAUUAUGUAUACACACAUUUUUAAAAUUCAUUUGUCCAUUGUUGGACACUUAGGUUGAUUCCAUGUCUUUACUGCUGUGAAUAGUGCUGUGAUAAAUGUGCGAAUGUAGGUAUCAUUUUGAUAUGCUGACUUCUUUUCCUGUGGAUAAAUAGUAAUGGGAUUGGUGGGUCAUAUGGUAGUUCUAUUUCCAGUUAUUUUUUAAUUUCCAUACUUCUUUCCAUAGAAGUUGUACUAAUUUACAUUCCCACCAACAGUGUAUAAGAGUUCCUUUUAUUCCACAUCCUCACCAUUGUUGUUUUUUGUCUUUUAUUUGUCAUCAUCUGUUGUUUUUUGUCUUUUUAAUAAUAGCCACUCUAACUGCAGUGUAAUGAUGUCUCAUUGUGGUUUUGAUUUGCAUUUCCCUGAUAAUUAGUGAUGCUGAGCAUUUUGUCAUAUACCUGGUGGCCAUAUGUAUGUCUUAUUUUGAGAAAUGUCUAUUUUUGUCCUUUUCCCAUUUUUAGUGGGAUUAUUUAUUGUCGGUUUUUUUUACUGUUGAGUUUCUUGUAUGUUCUGAAUAUUAGUCACAUAAAGGAGUUUACAAACAUUUUCUCCCUUUCAAGAUAUUCUCUCCUCACUCUAUUGACUGUUUCUUUUGCUGUGCAGAAGCUUUUUAGUUUGAUAUAGUCCCAUUUGUCUCUUAUUGUUUUUGCUGUCUAUGCUUUUGAGUUCUAGCCAUAAAAUCACUGCUUAGACCCAUGUACUGAACAGCCCUAUGUUUUCUUCUAGUAGUUUUAUAGUUUCAGGUCUUACAGUUAAAUCUUUAAUGAAUCUUGAGUUGACUUUUGUAUAUGGUGAGAGAUAGGUGUCCAGUUUCAUCUUUCUGCAUGAGAUUAUCCAGUUUUCCCAGCACCAUUUAUUGAAGAGGAUGUAUUUUCCUUAAUGUAUAUUCUUAAUGGCUUUGUCGAAGAUCAGUUGGCUAUAAAUUUGUGGAUUUAUUUGAGUUCUCUAUUCUGUUUCAUUGGUUUAUGUGUCUAUUUUUACACCAAUACUAUUUUGUUUUGGUUACUAUAGCCUUGUGAUAUGUUUUCAGGUAAUAUGAUGCUUCCAGGUAUUUUUUUUUUUUUUUUACUCAGGAUUGCUUUUUUAUUUGGGCUCUUUUUUUGGUUCCAUGUAAAUUUUAGAAUUUUUUUUUCUAUUUCUAUGAAAAAUGAUGUUGGUACUUUGAUAGGGAUUGCAUAGAAUCUGUAGACUGUUUUUUGGCAGUGUUUAUCAUAUUAAUGAUAAUUAUUCUUCUGAUUCAUAAAUAUGGAAUGUUUCCAUUUGCUUGUGUCUUCGGUUUUUUUAAUCAGUGUUUUGUAGUUUUCCUUGUAGAUAUAUUUUACCUCUUUGGUUAAAUUU